rnacentral:lncRNA from 1 species
UGCAUAAUAAAGGUUGCAAGAGGAAACCAAAUUUCAUUAAAGCAGUUACAAGAGCAGUAAUAUAUUACUAUAUUUAUAUAAUAUAUAGUAUUGUAUAGGUAAUCGAUCAUAUUAGAAGCUGUUGACAACUAAGUUUCGACAACUCUUAUUUCAAGGAAUUAUCUAGCUCAUAUUGACUCAAUUUUGACGGAUAAUUGGUGGGGGUGGUCGCGUAUUGUUCAAACUUGGUGGUGGUGGUGGAGGAAGAUUGUUUCGACCUGGGGAUGGUGGUGGGGGAGGAUUGUUUCAACUUACUAAAGGUGGUGGUGGAUGGAUGUUCUAAGGUAGUGGAACUUGGGGAUUGUUCCAACCACGUGAUGUGGUGGUGGAGGGCUGUUUUGACCAGGCAAAGGUGGUGGCGGUCGAUUGUUUGGCUGGGGUGGCGGUUGUAUUUUUCCGACCUGGUGAUGUUGGUGGCGGUGUAUUUUUCCGACCUGGUGAUGGUGGUGGCGGUGGAUUAUUCUGAGGUGGUGGUGCUCGUUGAGGAUUGUUUCGACCUGGUGAAGGUGCUGGAGCAGGGUUGCUCUGACUUGGUGAUGGUGAUGGUGGUCGAUUGUUCAAGGGUGGUGGUGCUCGUGAAGGAUUAUUUCGUCCUGGUGAUGGGGCUAAUGAUGGAUUGUUCUGAGGUGGUGGUGCUCGUGGAGGACUGUUCUGUCUUGGUGGUGGGGCUAGUGGUGGAGGAUUCUUGUGAGGUGGGGGUGGUGGCGGAUUCUUCGGAGGUGGAGGUGGUGGUAUAAACAUUGAUUGUUUGGCUGGGGUGGCAAUGGAUUGUUCUGACUUGGUGAUGUUGGUGGCGGUGGAUUUUUCCGACCUGGUGAUGGUGGUGGCGGUGGAUUAUUCUGAGGUGGUGGUGCUCGUUGAGGAUUGUUUCGACCUGGCGAAGGUGCUGGAGCAGGGUUGCUCUGACUUGGUGAUGGUGAUGGUGGUAGAUUGUUCAAAGGUGGUGGUGCUCGUGAAGGAUUAUUUCGUCCUGGAGGACUGUUCUGUCUUGGCGGUGGGGCUAGUGGUGGAGGAUUCUUGUGAGGUGGGGGUGGUGGCGGAUUCUUCGGAGGUGGAGGUGGUGGUCGUCUCACUACAAUAGGAGGAAGAAAUGGUGGCUUGUAAAAUGAUGGUAGCCAUGGCUUGGGAAAUGGUUGUAUAAAUAUUGAUGGCUUGUAAAUUUCAUGUCUUAUGGGAGUGACUUGUAGCUUGUCAUCCUCAUCGUAUUGGGCAUUGGAUGAAGUUGUGAUAAGAAUAACCACUACAAGAAAUAGCACAAACAACUUUUAGUAAGUCAUCUCUGCUCUUCUUGUGUUACAAAAUGAGAAGGGGCGUCAUUUUAUAGGGGUAGGAAUGAUGGGUUUUGUGUUAAUAAUUUUGGUCAAUAGGCAAUUGGUAAUUCAUAGGCUCCAAUUGGGGUAGUAUCUGCCCAACUGGUCUAAUAACAUUGCUUUUAUGGUAGGGGAGGCUCAAAAUUUUCAGCAUGCUUUAUAAAUUGUAUUCCUUAUUCCUAAAUUGUUCAACAAAUAUAUAUAUAUAUAUAUAUAUAUAUAUAUAUAUAUAUAUAUAUAUAUAUUUGUUUAAAAAUUUAGUAAAAAAGGUGUAGUCUAGCAAUCUUGUUCAAGUGUUUGGAAAUUGUUGGAAGUUUUGAGACUCUUGUCCCACAUUGGUGAAAACAAGAUUCCAAAGUACCUUUAUAUAUGUUUUGUCUUUUACAAUAUUAGUUAUGUGUUGGACCACUUGGAAUGGGAAUUGAGGCUUGAGCCACCAUUUCCGUGGAUUGGGCUUGAUGAUUAUACUAUAAUAUUAAUAUAUAUUAAUAUAAAUUAAUAUUAAUUAAUCAAGACAAGGGUCAUUAAUAUGAUCAAUUAGUUUUAAUUUCAAAUUAAGUUUUUAAUUAAAUUAAUUAAAAAUGUUUUGAUUAAAGAUACAACCUUUUGUAGAGAGUUGUAAAGCUUCAGAUACAUCCAAAAUGUAUUUGAAGAUGUAUGAAAGAGCCUAUAUAACUGGAGUCCUCAGUUCAUCAUCUUUCAUCUUUUUUUCUUCAUUUUCUUCCGUACAAACUUUCUAGAGAGAGUAAACACACAAAGCAAUUCGCUAGAAUUCUAUAAUCCAGUGCGGGUUGUAGGAUUAGGUAGUUGUAUCCUGAUCGAGCAGACGUUAUAGAACCACAAGCACAAGAGUGGGACGAAAUUACUGUUCGAAGGACAUAGUUUUUACGCUAGCCUCUACCUUCUGUAAUUAAGUUAGUACUGUUGAUAUUCUUAUAUUAAUUUCUAUAUUUAUUGUAUACUUUUCAUUCUGUAUAGCAAGUACUUUUUGUGAAAUAAAAUUGUGAAUUUCAAGUUCUGUUUAUUUCUGUUAUAUUGUUUAUUUCUGAAUUGUUCUCCAACAGGAAAAACACUAGAAAAGAUUGAAAAAUGAAUGAGUUUUUAAUUGUCUUUAUUAUUUAAUACCAAGGUUAUCUAACUUAUAUUGACAUUCGAUACUCCAUCAUUCCAUUCUUAAGCGGAUCCGACUUACAAAAACGGCAUUCCAUCAUGAUCCAUACCGCGUGCGAGUGAAGCAUAAGCUCUGUUUGUUUGGAAAGUCUAUGAAUGUUAAUUAAAAAAAAAAAAAACUUCUGUUAUAAUUCGAGCAGCAUUUUGUUUGAAUCGGAUUUCCAACAUUUGCCUUUUGUAUUUGAAUCCAAUCAAUUUUCUUUUCUUCUUAAAUGUUUGGCCUUAAACUGUCAUUUUCCUCUUAAUCGGUCGUCCCUUUCUGUUCAACCCUUCUCUUUAUGUAAAUGGCAAGAGUUUGGCCACUGGGUAAUUGGGGUAUAGCCAUUGACGAUUGGACAUUUAAACUCUAAGCUUAGCAUACAUGGAUGGGGUUAAGCAUCCUAUUCCCCAUCCCCUUGCUAAAUAUGUUGGUAGGAUACAGGCCCGGUCUAGAGAUUUUUGAGGUCCGGGGCGACGCUAAAAAAUAUGCCUUAACUUCACAUAAGAAAAUUAUUUAUUUUCACAUAAAAGACAUCGAUAAAAUUAUACUUAGAAAAACAUUUCGAACUCAAUAAUUUUGAAACACAGAAAGACUAAUUUAUUUUGUAUCAAGAGAAGGAAACCAAAAAAAUUCCUGGCUUCCAAGUAGAUAAAUGAGUUUUGUCUACCAUCUGAACUUUUAAAGUGUUUUUGUAUAAAUCGUGAGAUGUUUUUUCUUAUUUACUAACCUUGUCAAUAUGGGACUAAAAAAAUAAUAAUGUUUUCGAGUCUUUAAUUGAUAUGUAUAAGUAAUGAAUGGGCACUAACUUAAACCUUAUGAUGAUACGUCAUAUGAUUUGUAAAUUUGCUCUAAAAAUUUGGUCUACGCAUUACUUUUUGUUGAAUAUUAGACUUGGAUUUGAACGAAUAUUUAAAAAUAGCAACCCAUAUAGCUACUAGCUAGUAACUAAAAAUAAAUUAACAACCAAACAAAAAUUUGUUAAAAUUGAAAAGAAUAAACACGCACAUAUCAUUUCAAACUUAGGAGCUCUCAUUAAUUUUAAACAACAAAAUCAUUGCUUUUAAUUAAACUUCUUGAGUAUUUAACCAAAUUUUAUAAAUUUAUACUCUUAUGAAAAAAAAAUUGUAAAACUUGGAAAGUAAAUAAGCACACAUGGUGUCUUGAACCCAAGACCUUCUUAUUAAUUUCAAAUUACAAAACCACCACUUCUAGCUAACUUCCUUUGUCAUUAAACCAACUUUUUAAAAUUUAUACUCUUAUAAAAACAUAUAUAAAUAUACCACCCGAAUAAUUUUGAUGCCCCAAAUUUUUUUGGGCCUUGGACGGUCGCCCUGCCUGCCUUGGGCCUGGGCCGACCCUGGCAGGAUAUGUAAAGACUAAGAAGCGUUUGGUGCUGAGGAUUGGAUUGAAAUGCAUAAAACAUUUCAAGGUAUGUUGAAAGAAAAAUCGAAAACAUUGUGGCCAACUUGGAAGUAGGAAUCAAUAAGAAAUUUAGAGCUGAUUUGGGAUUAUGGUGCUUAAAAAAAAAGCAACAUAUUAAAAAAUUUGGAACAUCAAAUGUGUUUGGUAAAACAAUUUUUUUUUUUUAAAUUUGAUGUCAAUAAUAGUAGAAAAGCAGAAGUAGAGCCUACCAUGCUUAUAAAAAAACUGUUUUUUUUUAAACAUAGUGAUCAGUGCCAAUUUAAUGAAAUUUUCAAAUGGCAAGUAUACCCCCCAAAUUUUACAAAAUUACAAUCUUUACCCUUACAAUAUUCUCUUUGGUAAUUAUUAUAUCACACUAAAUACCGUAUCUUUUUUUAGUCAUUUAACAUAUUCACAACAAUUUUAUAUAAAAGUUUACCAAACACUUAGACUUUUUUUUUUUUUUUUUGCUAUAAGCAAUUUUACAAAAAAAAAAGGUUACCAAACACUCAACAAUUUUAUAUUAUAGCUGUUUAUUCUCACAUCACAGUAGAAGAAUAUUUUUUUUAAAGCACAACAAUACCAAAUUAGCCAUUAUUCACUACAAUCAUUCCUAAAACGGUAGGAUGAAAGGAGAAAUUAAUUCAUGUUUAGCCCCUUUAAUCCGAUCCUCUAUAUGAAAUGAGACCUAAAUUUGUGGUGUCACUUAGUAUUACGAUUUAGAGGUAUUUUUCUUCACUUAUAAGUGAGAGAUGUUUUUUUUUAACCAACGAUAUUAUCUACACUAAGGAGGUGGGGGAAUGCACCAAGCCUCACAAUGGGCUAGCAAUAAUGUAGUUCAAAUUCGCCUUUGGCAAGAGUUGCAUGCAUAUAUGGAGACGACCUAUUCGACCUUCAAUGCCACUAAUAUUGUCCUACAACAACAAUAUAGGGUACCAAAUUUCACCAAAUUUUCAAAUUUGAUCUCUGUUUUACUUCUUUCUGAAAAGCAAAACCAACUUUUGAUGAAAAAUCAUCAAGCUCAACCCAUUGGCUUGAAUGCUACGCUUGAAGCGCAUGCGACUAAUUUUAACAGCCACAAACAACAGAAGAACCAUCGUAGCCAUGGAAAUGGGCGGCAACUCCAGCCACGGGUGCAAGGUCAACAAAGCAAAGGCCUUGCCAAGGGAGGCCCCUAACUUCAAGAACAAGGGAAAAGCUACCAUUUAAUCGAAUUCCACUACAUUGGACAUGUGCUACCGUUGUGGAUCAAUGGACCAUUGGGCAUGCGUAUGUUGAGCUACCCCUGAGACUAUUGCCAAGUAUCAUUCCUGUCAUGAGUCUAAUUUUGCACAUGUGGAACAUCCCGAUGAUACUACCACAACUAUAGAGGUUUCAAAUUUUCAGGUGGCUAGCAUUAUGUCUCUCAGGCAUCGAAUUUACUACAUCUCUCUCCAUUUUAUUGUUCUUUUGUUUCUCUCAGACAUCGAAUCUGUCAUCUCUUUCCAGCCCAAUACUUAUCAUUUAUAUGUAUUCACAAACUUAUGAUUCAAUCGUAUGACAUGUUCUGGCAAUUUCUGUAUUUGUAAUGCAGGUCUCACAGCCAUAGGCUUCAUUUUUCAGUGAUGAGAAUCUGGAAACCAUGGCUAUCAAGAAAGAAUUCUCAUUGGAGGAGGUUAAGAAUGAUGAGGUGGAUAACUAUGCAUGUUCAUACAAUUUUGGGGGUGCCGACCCGGCGGAGGGAGAGGAGAACGAUUAUGGAGACGGGGGUAUGGACAUGGAUGACAGAGGCAAUGGCGAUGACUAAGUAUCAAUAUGAUAAUGUUGCUUUGGUCACAUGGAGCCGUGUGAGAUGAAAGUCUCAUGCACCGUUUUGAAUGAGAAAGGAGUGAGGAAUCCUCUUUUUGACUAUGACCCCCACUCCAGUUGUUGCUUUUCUUUCUAUUACUUCAAAAGUAGCUGCUUUAGCUUUAACCACCCAAUUUUUUUAUAUUCGUUUGGGUGGGAGACUUCUUGUGUAAGUUAAACUACCGUCAGCUAUUUAGAUGCGUCAAGUCCCACCCCCACCCCCACAUAUACCGAUUACUAUUACAAUGGAAAACAUAGUUUUGUCUUAACUUUUGUGCCGAUUAUACUGACUACUAUUCUUGUCUCGUCUUCACUUGUAUGUGAUACGUAUAAAGUUCGACUUAUAUGGAUGUGUGGUUGCUCAAGCCUUCAUUCCUUUAGAUAUAAAAUAAAUAGUAUCAAAAAAAUUUGUACUGGUUGUCACUAACAUUGCUGUUUAGUAGUAAUUAUUUUAUCACUUACAAGCUGAAAGCCUUGAGAGGACUCUUAACACUUGUUGCUGUUUAGUAGAAAACUUUUGUAGGAGUUGUAUUUUGUCUUAUACGUAGAAUUAACGUUUCUGAUCAGAAACGAUAAGUUUUCUACUAAAGUUUGGUGACAACCGCUACUGUUUCUUAUAAGAAUAGAAAAUUAAGGGUGUUUGUACCAUACUUGACCAAUCCCGAAACUACUGAGUACUGGUCAAUGUUAUACCGUCAAGGACCCAUAAGAGUUUCCCUCCAACCAUGAGGCCAAUCACAGCGCAACAUGUGUUGACAUUAGAAGCCAAUCAUAGCGCGACACGUGUCAACAUCAGAAGCCAAUCACAACACGACACGUUCAAUGUCAAAACAAAGCUAGAAACUCUCUUCUAUAAAAGGAGAUCAUUCUCCCACAAUAUUUCCUAAUAUCAUUUGUACUAAAUCAUUCACUAGUACUCACUAAAGGAGAGCUUCAACCUAUGUACUUGUGUAAACCCUUCACAAUUAAUGAGAACUCCUCUACUCCGUGGACGUAGCCAAUCUGGGUGAACCACGUACAUCUUGUGUUUGCUUCCCUGUCUCUAUCCAUUUGUAUACUUAUCCACACAAGUGACCGGAGCAAUCUAGCGAAGGUCACAAACUUGACACUUUCUGUUGUACCAAAGUCCCCACUGAUUUUGUGCAUCAACAAAAGGUGUGUUUGUUUGCCUUCACUAAAUCUCCUUGGACUGGAAUGGACUAGCUAUUAGUCCAAUAUCAUAUUUGUUACACAAGGAAUAGAUUUAAUGAGAUUAGAGCCGACUCGUCCCGACUAAGUCCUUUGUUAAAAGGUCUUAGCAAGAUCCCCCAAUAAGCACUGGAUUACUAAGACCAUUCGUGUCCUCGUCCAGUCGUUCUCCUCGCUUCUUUGUUCUGGUCUGGUCAGCCGACCUCGCCAGACCACCCCACCGACAGCGAUGGCGACGAUCGUCGACGAGAUGUAUUUGUUUUUGGCUCCGCACUUCUUUGACUUCAUAAAGGACGAGAGCGAAGCCGAGUCUACCAUAGAAAGCUCUUCAUUGCCCGCGGCAUGGCCAUUCACGUUAAUUGGAGGAGGGGAUGAGGAUGGGUCAUCGGAGAAGAGAGGUUGGAUGAGGAGACGAUGGUGGGCUCGCGGCUAGAGGAUUGAUUCAGAGAUGAAGGAUCUCAAUUACGCAGAGAUCUGAUAGACUGAUUCGCUUAUUUCCAUUUUUUCCCCAAUUUUUAAUCUUUUCCCCAUUUUUUAUUUAUUUAUUUUUUUAUCUUUUUGAUUUAGGGGAAAUUUAUCGACAGUGUGGAUUUAUUGUUUGGUUUGAUUUGAAUUGGGCAAGUAAAUCUUUGGUUUUUUUUUUUUAUAUAGAAAACGAACUUUUGGAGUGGAUUAUGAGUUAAUUUGUAAUUUCUCCUCCUGCGUAUUUUUCAAUUUAGGAUUUGAUUGUAGGUUGUUAGAAUUUGUAUGAAAUUUUGUUGUUAUGAUUGUAUACGGUCCAUUUUUCACUGGUUUUGUUAUCCCAUUUCUUAGUUCGACACUUCAUUAAACGUUUCACUAAGUUAGUCUAGCUUAGUCUAUUUUAAGUCAGUCCAGCUUAGUCCCAGAAGUUAAUCCAAUUCGAGAUAAUCCGGUACAACAAAUGCACCCUAAGUAUGACGCAUCGUGCUACAAUGAAUAGGGAAAUCGAAUGACUAUUUUGCUUUGUUAUUAAGGUUUUGGAGGCAAUCUCCUUGGUCGAUGUUACAAGGCGCUUUAUCGAGGCAUUAGCUCUGCAGUUUGGAAGACCAGUGGAAGCUGAUUCGGUAGGCAUCCUGGGCAUGUAAUGCUCUCUGCAAAGUUCUUGAAACGUUAAGACUAAUUGUUCAUGUCUAAUUCAUAAAGCUUAUUAAGUCUUGCAUGUUUAUGUUUAAUCUAAACAUCAUUGGUGGAUUACAUGUUAGGUGUACGUAAUUACUUGAACAUCACGAAGAGAAUACGCAUUAAUAAAACUUAACCUUUAAAGUUGCAUAUUUUAACUCAUAAGUAAUUUGUAGAACUGCAUAGGAUUGUUAAUGGUGGGUGCUAAACCUUAGUGCUUUUUCACAUUUGAUUUCUGUCCAUAACUUUAUUUUAUUUUAUCUCUCAUUGCCAAUUUUCGUUAGUCAAAUUUAAUUAUUUUAUUUUCUGUUCUUUUACUUUAAUUCACAAUUUCAAAAUUUUUCCAAAACUUAUGUUGUAUACUUAACUAAGAAUUAGUUUCAAAUACAAAUUAUUCAUAUUGAUCCGAUAGAGAACGAUCUUACUUGAGCUGUUUAUACUAUAAUAACCUUGUUCUCUUGUAAGUAUUUUUAUGUGUUUUAAUUCCUAUUUUUGCAAGUGGUAAAAAUCCAACCACUCUCAACAUCAACAUGUUUGAAUCUGAAUUAGUUUGCCAGCCAGAAUUAGUUGGCCAACUAGUCCAAUCCAAUUCACUAGUCUAGUCUAAUCCAUUCUUGUCCGGUCUAGUCCAGUUCGCUAUAAUAGCUCUUUUGCUUGAAAGCUCGCUUGAAUUGUCUUGCCAUAUUGGCCUAAUAGAGCUUGCAUCCGCAUCUACUUGUUGGCAAUUCAUGUCGUGUACCGCCAUGAAUUUGAUACGGGGUGUUGGAAUAUUAGUUAUUAUUUGAUUGUCUAGGUUUGGGUCUCACCUAUCUGAUUAGGAUUCUUUAGAUUUUGCAUUCCAUAAAUAUAGCUUGUAGUUUAGUAUGAGAAUUAAGUUAGUCAAGAUGUAGGCCUUAGUUUGUAGCCGUCUCUGCAUUCUUAUUAUUGUUUUCCUGUUAAUAAUAUUCAUAAUUUAUAAAUUGUUUGUGUUAAGUUUUAGUAAACUGAUAUAUACAGGAAUUGGAUUUUUAGAGGAAGCUGAAAAGACAGAGAGUGAGAGGCAAAGUUUCUUCAACUGCAACUCUGUUACAUUGCAGAGAGCAACAUUUCAUUCAUCUACAUUCCUUUCUUUUACAUCAGAAAUCAUAUCCGUUCAAUUACAUGAGCCAAUGUGAUUUUGACACAUGGCAGAACAAAGCAUAUGAGCCAUUGAAAAGAUACCUGAUCUAAAAUCACACACUUGGCAUAUGAGCACAAGUUAUCACAACAUAAAACAGCUACACAAUAGAACAAAGAUAAAAUAGAUAAGUAAAUCAUUUACUAACUUGAAAUUAGUAAGCAAUUUACUUUUCAACACUCCCUUCUAAAUUGUUAAUUGAUUUCACACCCAGUAAACUUCUCAAGUUGUUGAAUCUGUCUUUGGGAAGAGCCUUGGUAAAGAUGUCUGCAAUUUGUUCUUCACUCUUGCAGUAAAUCAGAUCAAUGGUACCUUCUUGAAUUGCAUCCCGAAUAAAGUGAAACUUCCUGCCAAUAUGCUUGGUUCUUUGAUGAAACACAGGAUUCUUAGACAUAGCUAUAGCUGAAGUGUUGUCACGGAAUAGCGUUGUUGCUGCAGCUUGCUCUUCUCCAAAGUCCUUGAGCACAAACCUAAGCCAAAUGGCCUGAGAUGUUGCUUCAGCUGCACUAACAUACUCUGCUUCUGCAGUUGAAAGAGCUACACUAUGCUGCUUGACUGAAGCCCAUGAGAAUGCCCCACUUCCAAAUGAAAAAGCAUACCCUGAGGUGCUUUUCAUAUCCUCCUCAGAUCCACUCCAGUCACUAUCGCAAUAUCCAAUCAGCAAAGCAGAUUUUCCAUUCAAAUAUUCAAUUCCAAAGUCAAUUGUUCCUUGAAUGUACCUUAAGACUCGUUUAGCAGCUCCAUAAUGUUUCUUGGUAGGCUUGUGCAUAAAUCGUGCAAGUACACUAGCAGAGAACAUAAUAUCUGGUCUAGUUGCUGUUAAAUACAAAAGACUUCCAACUAUUUUCCUGUACUCACACUCAUCUGCAGGUUCACUUCCAUCUUCUCUUCUCAGUUUAUCAGUUGCAACCAAUGGAGUGCUCACUGGUUUGCAAUCUUUGAGCCCAAAUUUAUCCAAAAGAGUUAGAAUAUAUUUUUUCUGAUGUAUAAAUAUACUCCCUUCAGUUUGAGUUACCCUCAUUCCAAGAAAAUGAUGAAGUAAACCCAAAUCUGACAUCUCAUAUUUGCACAUCAUUUCAGCUUUGAAUUCUUCCAUCAUUUCUGCAUUGCUCCCUGUGUACACAAUGUCAUCAACAUAGAUUGACACGAUCAAGGUACCAACACCUUCCUUGCUUCUCACAUAUAAAGUUGCUUCACUUGAGCUUUUGUGAAAUCCACAGUGAAUUGAAUAAAUAUGUGUCUAUUUCACUGUACCAGGCCCUUGGUGCUUGUUUUAGACCAUAGAGAGCCUUUCUCAGCCUAUAAACCUUGUCUUCAGCCCCUUUAAUCACAAAACCAUCAGGUUGAUCAACAUAUACUUCCUCCUCAAGAACACCAUUCAGAAAGGCUGAUUUAACAUCUAAUUGCCACAGUUUCCAACCUUUCUGUGCAGCUAGUGCAAUGAGUGUUCUAAUAGUAUCUAACCUUGCCACUGGAGCAAAGGUUUCAUUAAAAUCAAUCCCUGGUUUCUGUGUGUAACCUUUGGCUACAAGCCUUGCCUUGUGUUUUUGAAUGGAGCCAUCAAGAUUCAGCUUUGUUUUGUAUACCCAUUUCACACCCACAACAGGUUUACUACUAGGUCUGUCAACUAAUUCCCACGUGGAAUUCUUUUCAAUCAUCAAUAUUUCUUCUGUCAUAGCCUUUUUCCAAGCAUCAUCUUUGACUGCCUCAUUGAAAUCUUCAGGUUCAAUGAUGCUCAUGUUGCAUUGAGCAUAUACUUCACUCAAACUCUUCCAUUUCUGUGGAGUAUGGUCAUAACUUUCAGAUAUUGGAACUGGAGAACCAAGUGAACCAGGUUCUUGAGAUGCUUGCAGAUCUCCAGUUGAUUGUGAUCUCAGAGGAGGCUGCAUUGACUGAGGUGAAUAACUUGAAUAUGGCUCAAAUUCAGAUAUCCUUGAGUUUCUUUCAUCAUUCAAAGAACUAGGAACUUGAACUGAUUCAUUAGUUUUCCAGUCCCAUAUCACUUUCUUAUCAAAGAUUACACUUCUUGAUAAUUCAACCUUUUGAGUUCUCAAGUUGAAGAUUCUAUAUCCUUUUUCACAAUUUCCAUAUCCAACGAAUACUCCUUUCUCACCAGUUUCCUCCAGUUUGUGUCUUUUCUGUGAAGGAAUGUGAAUAUAACACAUGGAACCAAAUAUCUUCAAAUGUUUGACACCUGGCUUCCUCCCACUAAAUGCCUCAAAUGGAGUUAUGUUGUUAAGAGCACUUGUUGGACAUCGGUUUUGCAGAUACACAGCUGUGUUGACAGCUUCAGCCCAAAACUUCAAGGGAAUCUUCUUUUCAAUCAUCAUAGUUCUUGCCAUUUCAAUUAUUGUCCUAUUCUUUCUCUCUGCAACACCAUUUUGUUGCGGAGAGUAGGCAACAGUCAAUUGCCUUUCUAAUCCCAUAUCUUCACAGAACCUUGAAAACUCUAGAGAUGUAUAUUCUCCACCCCUAUCACUUCUGAGUUUCUUGAUUUGAUAGCCACUUUGUAGCUCAACCAUGGAUUUAAACCUUUUGAAAAUGUUGAAGACUUGAGACUUGUGUUGCAAGAAAAAUACCCAACACAUCCUAGUGUGGUCAUCAAUAAAUGUGAGAAAGAAUUUGUUGCCUCCUAGAAUAGUUAUCUGCAUUGGGCCGUAUAUAUCAGAAUGAAUAAGUUCUAGAGGUUGUGAUGCCCUCCAAACUUUUCCCUUGUCAAAUGAUUCCCUAUGACCCUUUCCUGUAGCACAUCCGGAGCAAACAUGCUCAGAAACUUGUAGUCUAGGUAAGCCCUGCACCAUUUCCUUCUCUUGCAGAAGCAUUAAACUAAUGUAGUUUAGAUGUCCAUAUCUUCUAUGCCACAACUGAGAUGACUCUUCAACAGUUGCUCUAUUAGCCAUGUGAGGAUUAACAUAUUCCAAACUUAAUGGAAAGCAUCUGUUCCCUUUCAUUGGAACACUUGCAAUCAGAUCUUCCAUCUGUCUAUCUCCAUAAAUAUCAACCAUGUAAUCACCAAACACAAGCCAAUGUCCAUGUUCUACCAUCUGCCCUACACUCAAUAAGUUUUCAUCCAAUCCAGGUACAAUUAUAACUUCUUUAAUAUACCUAGUCACACCUUUCAUCUCAAUCACCAAUGUGCCUUUGCCUAUUGACUGCACUAAAUCUCCAGUGCCCAUUUUAACUCUACACUUCACAUUCUUAUCAACAUCAAUAAGCAAGGAUUCAUGGGAGGUCAUAUGAUUGCUACAUGCACUAUCUACAUACCAUAUAUUCAUACUUCUUCCAAUAGUAGCAGAAUGGCAGGCAUAAAACAUGGUUGCAGAUUCUGUUACCUGAUUCGCAUAGUUUACAAGUUUUCCAGACUUGUUUGGUUGAUCACAAUCCUUGAUGAAAUGACGGAAACGAUUGCAUCCAUGACAUUUCGGCUUCCCUUUAAACCAGCACUCACCAUAGUGUAGUUUAUCACAAUGCUUGCAUUUUCCCUUAGACUGAUCAGAUUUUCCUCCUUGAUCAUAUUUGCCACCUCGAUUAGCAAGAUUCAGAGGUUUAGGAUCCCAUUUCUUCCCUUUUGAUUUCCAAUCCUUCUUUGGUUUAGAAUUACCAAACGAGAGAUUUGGUUGACUUCCUUUCGAAUUCAGAUUCAGAGUACUGAAAGCUCUUUCAAUGGUACUCUCAGCAUGUCUAUCAAGGCGUUGUGCAAACCCUCUUAAUGCUGCAAUCACCUCUUGUACCUCAAUAGUUUCAAUAUCCUUGGUUUGUUCAAUUACAUAACAAACAGGAUCAAACUCCUUAGUUAAGCUUAUGAGCAAUUUCUGAACUAAUCGUUCUCUGGGUAAAUCUUCCCCAUAACCCUUCAUCUGAUUUACCAACUCGAGAAGACGAGUGAGAUACAUAGACAGAGUUUCAUCAUCCCUCAUCCUUGUGUACUCGAAAUCACGGCGUAGACCCUGCAACUUGAUGGAUCUCACUUGCUUAUCACUAUGAAAUUCCUGAUGUAGGAUAUCCCAAGCACCCUUUGAGGUUUCUUCGUUUGAGAUUCUGGGAAAGAUGUCAUCCGAGACAGCUCCUUGGAUUAUACCCAGUGCCUUAGCAUCCUUCAUUAGCUUGUCGCUCAGAGAAACUCUCUCCGACUCCGAUGAACCUUCAUCUCCAAUCUUCUUAUCCUUCGAUUCUGAAAUUUCAAACCCCUUUUCAACUAAAUCCCAGAUUCCAUGUGAUUUGAAAAUAGUUCUCAUUCGAAUCUUCCAGAAUUCAUAGUUGUCACCAUUGAAUAUUGGAGCCCAAAGAUCACUACCACCAGAUCCAGCCAUUUGAGACUUGAAUCGACAAAACUGAGUCGGAAAUUUCACGUUGGAUUUCCGAGCACAGCACUCACAGAUCUUACGCCCCGAUUCCAGAUAGAACCUGAGCUCUAGAUACCAUGUUAAGUUUUAGUAAACUGAUAUAUACAAGAAUUGGAUUUUUAGAGGAAGCUGAAAAGACAGAGAGAGUGAGAGGCAAAGUUUCUUCAACUGCAACUCUGUUACAUUGCAGAGAGCAACAUUUCAUUCAUCUACAUUCCCUUCUUUUACAUCAGAAAUCAUAUCCGUUCAAUUACAUGAGCCAAUGUGAUUUUGACACAUGGCAGAACAAAGCAUAUGAGCCAUUGAAAAGAGACCUGAUCUAAAAUCACACACUUGGCAUAUGAGCACAAGUUAUCACAACAUAAAACAGCUACACAAUAGAACAAAGAUAAAAUAGAUAAGUAAAUCAUUUACUAACUUGAAAUUAGUAAGCAAUUUACUUUUCAACAGUUUGUUCCUACGUUUGAUGCUCUGAUUUUUAACUGCAUGCACAUUCUCUAACUGCAUGCACAUAAGGCCUUUUAUGGCCUAAAGCAGGCCUCUCGUGCCUAGUUUCAGAGGUGUAGUUCUUUUAUUAUCAAUUUUGGUUUCCUUCAAAGCUGGGCUGAUAAUUCUGUGUUCGUUGUUUUGGGUAGUGAUCCCUCUGCUUUUCUUUCUAAUUAAAAAAAAAUAGGUGUUGAAUAUGAUUUAAAAGACUUGGGCAAACUGCUAUUUUCUUCGGAAAAAAGUCUUUUUUAUGUGGCCGGAUAUUCAUCUCACCCGGACAAGGUACACAUUGAACAUUCUCAAGAAGGGAGACAUGCUUGAUUGUUUGACACGUACAUGUGGUACUGAGUUGGCUGGUCCAUGUUUCUAUUGCUAUUGUGGUGGAGGUCUUCAAUAUCUCACCAUGACAUUCAAUAUCGCCGUCGUCUCCUUUGCCGUUCAUAACGUUGCUCAAAUCAUGGGUCGUCCUACUUCUUUGCAUUUGGAGGCAGUUAAACAUAUUUUGUGUUACUUAAAAGGUACUUAUGGUCAUGGUUUGCCAAUAUGAUGUUGUGAUGCCUCUUCUUCUUUUUCAGUGUACUCUAACGCAGAUUGGGCAGCUUGUUCGGACACCCGUCAUUUUGUCACAGGUUUUUGUAUCUUCCUGGGUUCUAACUUGAUCACAUGGUGUUAUAAGAAACAACGAACAGCCUCUUGGUUAAGUACUGAAGCAAAGUAUCGUGCCCUAGUUUAUGGAUGUGCAGAUUCGAUUUGGAUAUUUUGUCUUUUAAGUGAGCUGUGGGUUCCUAUUCCUCGUCCAAUUUUUCUCUAAUGUGAUAACUGGAAGCGAUAUAUAUAUAUAUAUAUAUAUGUAUAUGUAUAUUUACUGUCGCACUUAACAUAUUGCUCUUGAUUAUCACUUUGUGCGAGAACAUGUUGCUAACACGCAUUAGGUUCAGUUUGCUUCUUCCGAGGUGCAGUAGUCAGAAGUGUUCACCAAAAGUCUAUCACAAUCGCACUUCUUGCUGUUGACUUUCAAAAUCCUCACUUCGCAUGUGCCUCGUUUGCGGGGUGAGUGCUAUAGAUAUGGUUGUUUGAAUUGUACUCCAUUCAUGAUUUGAAUUGUACUAUCGUGAUAAAUUCUUAUUAAUGUUGGACUAUCAGAAACUUCACAUGAUGCAUUUUUUUGGAAGAGAUUUUGUGACAACAAUUGUGGUAGUUUUCAUGUAUUCUUCAUCUUUUAAUUGGUCGAGUUCGGUGAAUCAAGCAUGGUUCACAUGGAAUCAAAGCGGAGCAUGUCUACUAAGAUACAAGCAAAAGGAAUGUAUGUCAUCUAUUCUCAUGACAAAGUGGGCAAAUUAUAUAACUAACCAAAAUGUUACUUCAUUAUAGUUGGUAAUUUAUAUUGCAUAAUAAAGGUUGCAAGAGGAAACCAAAUUUCAUUAAAGCAGUUACAAAAGCAGUUAUAUAUUACUAUAUUUAUAUAAUAUAUAGUAUUAUAUAGGUAAUCGAUCAUAUUAGAAGCUGUUGACAACUAAGUUUUGACAACUCUUAUUUCAAGGAAUCAUCUAGCUCAUAUUGACUCAAUUUUUAUGGAUAAUUGGUGGGGGUGGUCGCAAAUUGUUCAAACUUGGUGGUGGUGGUGGUGAAGGAAGAUUGUUUCGACCUGGGGAUGGUGGUGGGGGAGGAUUUUUUCGACUUACUAAAGGUGGUGGAGGAGGAUUAUUCAGAUUUGGUGGAGGUGGUGGUGGAUGGAUGUUCUGAGGUAGUGGAACUUGUGGGGGAUUGUUCCAACCACGUGAUGGUGGUGGUGGAUGACUGUUUUGACUAGGUAAAGGUGGUGGCGGUCGAUUGUUUGGCUGGGGUGGCGGUGGAUUGUUCUGACUUGAUGAUGUUGGUGGCGGUGGAUUGUUCCGACUUGGUGAUGGUGAUGGUGGUGCUCGUUGAGGAUUGUUUCGACCUGGUGAAGGUGCUGGAGUAGGGUUGCUAUGACUUGGUGAUGGUGAUGGUGGUAGAUUGUUCAAAGGUUGUGGUGCUCGUGGAGGAUUAUUUCGUCCUGGUGAUGGGGCUAAUGAUGGAAUGUUCUGAGGUGGUGGUGCUCGUGGAGGAUUGUUUUGUCCUGGUGGUGGGGCUAGUGGUGGAUUAUUUUGAGGUGACGAUAUUAACGGUGGAUUAUUCAUAGGCGGUGGUGCAGGCGAAUGAUUGUUUUUACCCGGUGAUGGUGCUAGUGGUGAAUUAUGUUGAGGUGGUGCUUGCGAAUGAUUGAUUUGACCCGGUGAAGGUGCUGGAAAAGGGUUGGGCUUACCAGGUGUAGGUGUUGGUGGUGGAUUGUUCUGAGUUGGUGGUGUUCGUGGUGCACUGUUUUGACUCGGUAAAGGUGCUGGAGGGGGGUUGCUUUGACCUAGUGUUGGUGUUGGAGUUGGUGGUGGAUUCUUUCCAGGGGGUGUUGGUGUUGGUGUUGGUGUUGGUGUUGGUGUUGGCGUUGGCGUUGGCGUUGGUGUUGGCGUUGGUGUUGGUGUUGGUGUUGGUGUUGGCGUUGGAGUUGUAGCUGGUGUUAGAGUUGGUGAUGGUGUUGGUGGCGGACUUUUUCUAGGUGGUGUUGGCGUUGGCGUUGGCGUUGGUGUUGGUGUUGGUGUUGGUGUUGGCGUUGGAGUUGGAGCUGGUGUUAGAGUUGGUGAUGGUGUUGGUGGCGGACUUUUUCUAGGUGGUGUUGGAGUUGGUGUUGGUGGUUGAUUUUUUUGAGGUGGGGGUGGUGGCGGUGGAUUUUUUUGAGGUGGCGGCGGUGGAGGAUUUUUCUGAGGUGGCGGUGGUGGCGGAUUCUUCUGAGUUGGGGGCGGUGGCGGUGGUUUGUUUUGAGGUGGCGGUGGUGGAGGAUUUUUCUGAGGUGGCGGUGGUGGCGGAUUCUUCUGCGGUGGGGGUGGUGGCGGAUUCUUCGGAGGUGGAGGUGGUGGUCGUCUCACUACAAUAGGAGGAAGAAAUGGCGGCUUGUAAAAUGGUGGUAGCCAUGGCUUGGGAAAUGGUGGUAGCCAUGGCUUAGUUAAUGGUGGUAUAAACAUUGAUGGCUUGUAAAUUUCGUGUCUUAUGGGAGUGACUUGUAGCUUGUCAUCCUCAUUGUAUUGGGCAUUGGAUGAAGUUGUGAUAAGAAUAACCACUACAAGAAAUAGCACAAACAACUUUAAGUAAGUCAUCUUUGCUCUUCUUGUGUUACAAAAUGAGAAGGGGCAUCAUUUUAUAGGGGCAAGAAUGAUGGGUUUUGUGUUAAUAAUUUUGGUCAAUAGGCAAUUGGUAAUUCAUAGGCUCCAAUUGGGGUAGUAUCUGCCCAACUGGUCUAAUAACAUUGCUUUUAUGGUAGGGGAAGCUGAAAUUUUUUGGCAUGCUUUAUAAAUUGUAUUCCUUAUUCCUAAAUUGUUCAACAAAAAAAAUAUAUAUUUGUUUAAAAAUUUAGUAAAAAAGGGGUGAGUCUUGCAAUCUUGCAUUCGUUUUAGUGGUAGCCUCAGGAAUUUUAUUCCAGGAAUUUUUUAUCCGUUACCAGUUACCAUUUCGAGUUUCAAAUCCCCAAAACUGAAGCGGUGUAGUCUAGCAAUCUUGUUCAAGUGUUUGGAAAAACACUAGAAAAGAUAGAAAAAUGAAUGAGUUUUUAAUUGUCUUUAUUAUUUAGGGAGAUGACAUACCCACCCAUCAACAUUAUUUCUCCACCCACUUUUUAAUGAUACUUUUAAUGACAACUCUAAGCUUUUGCAAAAUGACUUAUAAGGCCAUCUUUAACUAUUUUAUUCUUUUGUUUUUGUAUUAAAUUCUGAAAAUAGAAGGAACAAAAACAUGAGCCCAGCAAGUUGAAACCACCGCACACAACACAAACCAAGUUGAAUCCACCGUUUUCCUCAUCUCUUAUGUCAAUUCCUUCCCAUCCAUUCGAAAUCUUCAUCAAACACCAUAGGCCCAUUACAAUUACCUUAAGAAACCUUGAUAAUUGGAUUCUCUCAUACCCAUUUGACGUGGUUUUGAUACCCCUCUUCUACGAUUAAUCCUCUACUUGAGUUGUAAUUGCAGAGAGCGACUACGAGGUCGACCGAGGAUGUUGCUCAUCCUCAUAGUCUUGAUCAAAUUAGAGACAUAAUUGGCUGACAAUGAGAAGGGGGUUGCUUGCCGUCGAGUGGAUGGAUAUGUGGUGGUGACUAAUUUUCUUUGUAAGGGAUAGUUUAGGAAUAUCAGUGGGUGGGAAAAGAGUGUUUUUCAUUUUUACCUUUUGAGUGGGGUGGAAAAAUAAGGUGGGGUGGGGAAAGAGGAUUGUGAGGUGGGUCUAAUAGCUCUCAUUAUUUAAUACCAAGGUUAUCUAACUUAUUGGCAUUCGAUACCCCAUCAUUCCAACAUUUGGCUUUUGUAUUUAAAUCCAAUCAAUUUUCUUUUCUUCUUAAAUGUUUGGCCUUAAACUGUCAUUUUCCUCUUAAUCGGUCGUCCCUUUCUGUUCAACCUUUUUCUUUAUGUAAAUGGCAAGAGUUUGGCCACUGGGUAAUUGGGGUUUAGCCAUUGACGCUUGGACAUUUAAACUCUAAGCUUAGCAUAUAUGGAUGGGGUUAAGCAUCCUAUUCUCCAUCCCCUUGCUAAAUAUGUUGGCAGGAUAUGUAAAGACCAAGAAGCGUUUGGUGCUAAGGAUUGGAUUGAAAUGCAUAAAACAUUUCAAGGUAUGUUGAAAGAAAAAUUGAAAACAUUGUGGCCAACUUGGAAGUAGGAAUCAAUAAGACAACUUAGGGCUGAUUUGGGAUUGUGGUGUUUUUUUUUAUUUUUAAAAGCAACAUAUAAAAAAAAUCUGGAAUAUCAAAUAUGUUUGGUAAAAAAAAAAAAAUUUAAAAACUGAUGUCAAUAAUAGUAGAAAAGAAGAAGUAGAGCCUACCAUGCUUAUAACAAAAUUGUUUUUUUUUUAAAUAUAGUGAUCAGUGCCAAUUUAAUGAAAUUUUCAAAUGACAAGUAUACCCACCAAAUUUUACAAAAUUACAAUAUUUACCCUUACAUUAUUAUCUUUGGCAAUUAUUAUAUCACAUUAAAUAUCAUAUCUUUUUAGUCAUUUAGCAUAUUCACAACAAUUUUAUAUAAAAGUUUACCAAACUUUUUUUUUUUUUUUGCUAUAAGCAAUUUUACAAAAAAAAAAAGUUUACCAAACACUCAACAAUAUUUAUUUUACAGCUGUUUAUUCUCACAUCACAGUAGAAGCAGUUUAUUUUUAUUUUUUUAAGCACAACAAUACCAAACUAGCCAUUAUUCACUACAAUCAUUCCUAAAAUGGUAGGAUGAAAGGAGAAAUUUCAUUCAUGUUUAGUCCCCUUUAAUCUGAUCCUUUAUAUGAAACGAGACCUAAAUUCAAGAAUGUCAUAAAUAAAAUAGGUUCCGAAAAGCUAUACAAAUAUAACCACUUGGAUAUAUAUAUAUAUAUAUAUAUAUAUAUAUAUAUAUAUAUAUAUAUAUUAAUGGGCGGCAACUCCAGCCACGGGUCCAAGGCCAACAAAGCAAAGGCCUGGCCAAGGGAGGCCUCUAACUUCAAGAACAAGGGAAAAGCUACCAUUUAAUCGAAUUCCACUACAUUGGACAUGUGCUACCAUUGUGGAUCAAUGGACCAUUGGUCACGUGUAUGUUGAGCUACCCCUGAGGCUAUUGCCAAGUAUCAUUCCUGUCACAAGUCAAACUUUGCACAUGUGGAACAUCCUGACGAUACUACCACAACUAUAGAGGUUUCAAAUUUUCAGGCGGCAUCCACUUCUAUGGAAGAAUGAAGUUUAUUUUUCUAGACAUGUUCGGGUGGUUUUUACCCUUAGUUAUCGAACCCACUAUGGAAUAACUUGUUUGGUUUGGUUUGUUUUGAAUUAUGGAUAAUUAUGUCAUGGAUAUUAUUUCUCAAUUGAUUAAUUGAAUGAACACAAUUAUAUAUAUAUGCAUGUGAUCGAUUCAAUUAAUUUAUUUCUAGGUAUGACUAGUAGGGAAGUUAGUUGUCUGGCUGAUAGUGCUACAACACACCAUCUUUCGUGAGCAACACUAUCUUACUAACUUUGUACCUAAAAAUGCACCUUUGACAACUCUCUCAAGUUCAUCUAACCUGAUGGAACAAUACAGAAAGGCUCAUAUAAUGUUGUCUAAUGGUAUUGAAUUAACCAUAAAAAGACCUUAUAUUCUCCUCGUUUCGGAAAACGUUGCUAAGUUUUAGAGAUAUCCGAGAUAAUAAAUAUCAUAUUGAAACCACUGAAGAAAAUGAUUCUAAUCAUUUCUUACGAAUAUGGCUAGAAACGUAUUCACAAGAAGUUGGAAUGUUUUUCGAGUGGGUUGUACAUCACAACCAUUAGAGCCAUAGAGACCUAUCACGUGGACGACCCUAAGCUCGGGUUCUAGACCCUUUGCUGUCUUGGCAUGACCGGAUGGGACAUUCUAAACGAGAUAUGAUGCGCCAUAUCCUCAAAUCUUCACACGGGUAUCAUAUAACCUCUUAUAUCGGAUACCCGACUUGCAAAACAUGCCACUUGGGGAAGUUGAACACUCAACCUUCAUCUAUGAAGAUUAAUUAGAACCCUCCAAAGUUUCUUUAAAGGAUUCAAGGGGAUAUUUCAGGACCUAUCCAACCAACAUCCGGACCAUUUAGAUACUUCAUGGUGUUGGUUGAUGCAUUGACACGUUGCUCAUAUGUCCACUUAAUGUCCACACGCAACGCUGCUUUUGCAAAACUCUUAGCUCAAAUCAUUAAGCUUAGGGCUCACCACCUUGAUUAUAUGAUUUAGUAAAUUUGACUAGAUUAUGCUAGAAAGUUUACGUCACGGUCCUCUGAUGAUUAUUGCAUGUCAAUUGGGAUUGAAGUUGAGCAUAUUGUACCACAUGUUCAUACCGAAAACGGUCCAGCAGAAGCUUUUAUAAAGCGCAAUCGAUAGCUCGGACUUUGGUUAUGGGAACCAAAUUGCCGUUAUCUGCCUAGGGCUAUGCAAUUCUACAUGCAUCUAUGUUGGUAUGCUUGAAGCCCACCACUACCCAGUCUCUUUCACCGUUAUAGUUGGUCACUGGAUACGAGCCUGAUGUUUCGCAUUUGCGUGUGUUUGGGUGCCCAGUCAAUAUGUCAAUAACGACACCACUACGUACCAAAAUGGGUCCUCAGAAAAGAAUGUGAAUUUAUGUCGAUUAUGAUUUGCCAUCAAUUAUUCUCAACUUAAAGCCCUUGACAGGAGAUCUCUUUACCGCACGUUUUGCGGAUUCACUUUGAUGAGACAAUCUUGCCGCUGUUAGGGGGAGAUAAGAAUGUUAACGUUUCUAUAAAACGUCACAAAUUGUUGUGAUAUGCUCCCACUAUGUCUCAUUUAGAUCCCCGCACUGCCCAGUCUGAAACCGGAGAGCGUCAUAUUCUAGGUCUUUAGAGUAUUGCUUAAAGCAUGCCGAAUGCUUUUACUGAUCUAAAUAAGGUGACAAGAUCACAUAUACCAACUACAAACACACAUGCAAUGAUCGAUGUACUUUAGGUACGUUGUAACAUUGCCUCAGAAGAAUGACCCAUCCUCGAAUGAAGGUUAGCCGCACCUCCCACGCGGGUCAGUACACUGGUAGCUAGCCAAUUAUCUACUCCUACCUUGAAGCAUGGCAGACCUCCUAGUUCAAAGGAUUUACAACCACAGAAGAGGAAAACGGCACAAACUAGUGAUCCUAGUAUGAAUUCAACCAUCGCUUACUUAUAUGUUCCAACGUAUGAGGUUAUUCUAGAUUACGAUGAUGUCUUAGAUGAGACAAACCGGCCUCCCAAGAAUCGUGAGAUUCGGUCCAUUACGCAGUAUUGGAUGAGAUUUGAAAUCAGAAUGAGAUGAUCGUCGACGAUGCCUUUGCGUACACAGUAGCUAUUAACAUCAUGCUUAACAAUGACAUUGAACUACGUUCCAUUGAUGAGUGUCGAUGUAUAACUGACUGGUCAAACUGGAAACAAGCAACCCAAGUCGAACUUAAUUUGCUUACAAAACGUAAGAUGUUUAGGCAUGCAGCUCCUAUUCCACCACAAGUUAAGCUUGUGGGCUAUAAGUGGAUUUUUGUAAGAAAAUGUAAUGAGAAGAAUGAAUAGUGUGAUACAAAGCACGCCUCGUAGCGUAAGGCUUUUCUCAAUGCCUUAGAAUUAAAUACGAGGAGACAUACUUUCCCGUAAUGGACGUCAUAAUAUUUCGCUACCUUAUCAGUUUGGUAGUUUCUGAAAAACUAAAUAUACAGCUUAUGGAUGUGGUAAUCGCGUAUCUCUAUGGGAUCUAAAUAUAGAAAUCUACAUGAAAGUUUCUGAAGAGCUUACAUUGACUAGAUCAAAUAGUUCUAAACCAUGGAACACCCUAUCGAUUCAAUUGAGGAGUUCACUGUACGGAUUGAAACAAUCUGGGUAUAUGUGGUAUAACCGUCUAAGUGAACCUUUAACAAGUCAGGGUUAUGUGAACAAUGAACUAUGCUCAUGUGUGUUUUUUAAGAAGUUACAUUCUGGAUUUGUGAUCGUUGUAGUUUAUGUCGAUGACAUGAAUCUCAUUGGGAUUCUUGAAGAGCUUGAGGAAACUGCCGCUCACUUGAAAUUGAAAUUUGAGAAGAAAGAUCUUGAGAAAACUUGAUAUUGCCUUGGCCUGAAGAUCAAGCACUGUUCGGAUGGAAUCCUAGUACAUUAAUCGAACUACACCCAGAAGGUGCUGCGACGUUUUAAUGAGGAUAAAGUGAAGCCUUUGAGUAUUCAUGUGGUCAUUUGGACUCUAGAUAUUAAACGAGAACCCUUCAAUCCUAAAGAGGAUAAGGAAAAGAUUUUUGAGCCUGAAAUUCCACACCUAAGAACAAUUGGUGCUUUAUUGUACUUAGCUUAAUGCACUAGACCCAACAUCUCAUUUGUUGUAAAAUCUUUUGGCAAGAUAUAGCAAUGCGCCUAACGUAGGCACUGGAAUGGUGUCUAAUACAUUUUCCUUUACCUUAAGGGUACAACAGAUUUGGGUUUGCUCUACACCCAUGAAUCCUCGAGGGGAGCCGCUGCCCCUUUCGGUCUUUGGGUUGAUUCUCGCCUUGUUGGUUAUGUUGAUGAAUGUUAUCUAUCUAACCCACAUAGGGCACAUUCUCAAAUGGGUUAUGUCUUUACCAUUGGAGAUACCGUAAUUUCUUAGAGGUCUACCAAGCAAUCGUUAGUUGCGACUUUUUUUAACCAUGUUGAGAUUCUCAUCUUGCAUGAAGCCUCGCGUGAAUGCUUUUGGUUGAGAGCAAUCAUGGAACAUAUUCGAACCACUAGCAGUCUUUCUACCAAUGUUGAUGUUUCUAUAAUGAUCUUUGAAGACAAUGAUGCAUGUAUCGAUCAACUGAAGAAGGGAUACAUCAAGGGAGACAACACCAAGCACAUUGCAUUGAAGUUCUUCUAUUCUCACCAACAAUAACAACAUCAUAACAUCAAAGUCAAGCAAAUCCGUUCCCAAGAUAACCUAGCCGAUCUUUUCACAAAGUCAUUGCCCAAGUCUACUUUUAGAAGCUUGUCCAAGGAAUUGGUAUGCGUAAACUUUCUGAGUUGAAUAGCUUGUAGUUCUCUUAUUUGGAAGUUAUGUCAAACUCAGGGGGCCAUAAGCAUACUCACUUGAUAUUAAUGUACUCUUUUUCCCUAUGAUUAGGAGCAUUUUUUCCACUUAGUUUUUGCUACCUAACAAGGUUUUGAUGAGGCACCCAUCCUGGGAUGAUCAUACUUCUUUGAUGUUUACUACUUUUGUCUCGGAUGACGUUUGUUUUUUACAUUAUGCAUACUUAUCACUUUUCUCCUUAGUCUUUGGGUUUUGCACUUACCUUAGGUUUUACCAUAGCAAAGUUUUGUGAGUUUACUACCAAUGCAUACUUUCUUUAAUUUGAGAUUCGCAUUUGCUCGUUUUGUCGACGACUUCAUCAACUGAUCUACUUCAUCCGCUGAAGACCUGAUACGAUAUUUUGUUUGAGUAUUUACACAUUUAAGGAAGUGUUGUAGUCAUAUUUAUUAUAAGAAUGUGAUUGUGUAAAUCCUAUUAUAUAUGGGAUAUCUUUAGUAAAUUCUAUCAUAUCUUUUAGACUAGAUAUUAUUCUAUUGGGGUAAGGAAUGUACCUUAUCUACUACUAUAAAUAAAGGCAAAAUGGGGUGGAAUACCACACACCUCACAAUUACACAUCUCUCUUUUCUCUCUCUAUGUCGUCGGCCACCCCUCUCUAUCCCUUAUAAUUGUUCAGUAAAAUAGGCCUACAACAAAACUAAAUUUGUGGUGCCACUUAGUAUUACGAUUUAGUGAUACUUUUCUUCACUUGUAAGUGAGAGAUUUUUUUUAUUUUUUUUAUUUUUAACAAACGAUAUUAUUUAUACUAAAGAUGUGGGGUAGUGCGCUACGCCUCACUAUCUCGAUGUUGCAUUAGCUCAAUGUCGCCUUCGAUCUCUCGUCUGCAAUAUACUCCACUUCUCUUCUCUUCAUGAGUGAUUCUCACCGUUGAGAUCUGUAACUUUUCUCGGGGGCCAAAUCUCCCAUCACUUCUGCCGGGCAACCCUCUAUUCCAUCUAGCAGUAUUUUCUUGUUGCAGAAACGGACCAGAACCGAGCUGAUUCCUCGGGUACAAAUUAAACUUUGGUGACAACUUCCUAUGGUUGGUGCGGUUGUCAGUUCUGGCAACAAACCAGUCAGAACUCUGCCUGACAACCAGCAACAUAAUGGGCUGGAACCGUGCCCAGCUCUAAGUUAGAGUACAUGUUCCAUUGAAAAUGAAUGUGAAAGUAAUAACUAUUAUUGAAUGAAUAUGACAUAACAAUGUGAGCUUCGUCUGGGCCUCAAAUAAGAAGCGUAGUAAUUAAUUUUAUAUCUGUGAUCCUGUAUUCAGUUUUAUUUGAUAUUAGAUUCUCUGUGUGUGUCUCUUUGUCUCUAUUUCAUAUUUCAUAAUUGGUAGGUUUAAAUUUCUAGAUCUUUUAUUUCGAUACUUGAUUUUUGUCCAUUUUUAAAAGUGGAAUUAUGGCUCUCCUGCGGAUAUUUCAAAACCUAAUAUAUGAAAUAAAAAAUUCCUGUGCAGAUUAGGAGCUUUCCUUCUGCAGAGUUUUACUCGGAGUCAUUGGAGGAUGGUCCUAAUAUUAUAGAGCAGACACAACGUUCUUGGCAUGACUAUCGAUGCUUUGGACCCUUCUGCUUUUUUGACAUACAUCAAGGGAAGGAAUCCAAGCCCGAAGGAAGUGGUAGAUCUGUUGUGAAUGUUGCUGAGGUUGAUUUUAUCAUGCUCUUGUAUCAUAAUUUAGUGGAUAAAUAUCCAGAGCUUAAAUCAAGUCAGCGGUUCACGAUUAUAUCCCCGUAUCGUGGACAAGUAACUCUCUUCAAAGAACGUUUCAGAAGUACUUUCGGAGUGGAGUCUGACAAAUUCGUGGAUAUUACUACUAUUGAUGGUUGCCAGGUAUCGUGACUCAUUCUUUUAUGGAUUCCUUUGAAAUUCUUCUCAAUGCUAAUAGACUUUGUUUUCUAUUCAAAAGGUGAUCAGACGUUUUUAUUUUUAAUUCUUUGGAAGUUUUCAAGGUCAGUUUUUUUGGUGAUGUAAUACCGUGUUAUGUAGAGCUGUCUAGAUGUCGGAGUAUCUCAUUUUAUGUUGCAUAGAUUUGUCAAGGUGAAUGAUAUCUCAUAAUUUUCAUCGAAUUAUACCAUAAAAUAUGAUAUAAACGAUGACGAGGAGGAAAAAGGGGUGGGAGGAGCUCAUGUGACUGUUGGGGUAUUUGUUAAACAGAAACAUCAAAUAUUUAACAUUGGGGGUUAUUACUGACACUGCACUCCUCAAGGUGCAAUUUCUCUCUUAUGGUUUAAUAAGAUACGGGUGCACAAUGACCUUUUUGAAGUGCGAAUAACUUCUCCCUGAACUUUUAGAGACAAUUUUUUCCUAUUAUUCAAUUUGCGAAAAUUGAAAUGUUUGAAUAAAUGAUCUUUUAAUGUUUUUCUCAGGGACGUGAAAAGGAUGUUGCAAUAUUUUCAUGUGUCAGGACAAACGAGCAUGGAAAAAUUGGGUUUCUGUCUGAUUUUCGGCGAAUGAAUGUUGCGAUCACUAGAGCAAAAUCUUCUGUCUUGGUCUGUUAUCGUUUGAAGUUAAGAAUGAAGUUUCAAGUACUGUCUUACUUCAUGUAAUAUGCAUUUACAUAUUGACCUCUUCUUUUAAUCAGGUAGUGGGAUCUGCAUCAACAUUAAGGAAGCGCGAUGAGCAUUGGAAUAACCUUAUCGAAAGCGCUGAAAAGAGGGAUUGUUUGCUUAAGGUGAAUAUUCUUCCUGAGAAUAUGAAAUCACACACUAUUCAUCACACCUCGUGCUCAAUUUGGCCACACAUCUGCUGUGAUUGAUUCAUGUGUUUGGUUUUGUCCAACCGCAUAUGACGGUUCAUGUUGCUAAUGUAGAAUCGUAGGUUGAGCAUUUAAAACUUCACACCAGGUUCUUAAAUUUCUAGGUCCCACAACUUUUAUGUUUUAGGCCGAUUUUCCGUAACUUGUGGUCCUUUGAGUAAGCAAGAGGAAUAAAUUGGUCCAUGCAUCAUUUAGUAUCAACUGCAACGAGCGCUACGUUAAGAACUUUACCCACAUCUCUCUUCAUUUUAUUGUUCUUUUGUUUCUCUCAGACAUCAAAUUUACUACAUCUCUCUCCAUUUUAUUGUUCUUUUGUUUCUCUCGGACAUCGAAUCUGUCAUCUCUUUCCAGCCCAAUACUUAUCAUUUAUAUGUAUUCACAAACCUCUGAUUCAAUCGUAUGGCGUGUUCUGGCGAUUUCUGUAUUUGUAAUGCAGGUCUCACAGCCAUACACUUCAUUUUUCAGUGAUGAGAAUCUGGAAACCAUGGCUAUCAAGAAAGAAUUCUCAUUGGAGGAGGUUGAGAAUGAUGAGGUGGAUAACUAUGCAGGUUCAAACAAUUUUGGGGGUGCCGACCCGGCGGAGGGAGAGGAGAACGAUUAUGGAGACGGGGGUAUGGACAUGGAUGAUGGAGGCAACGGCGAUGACUGAGUAUCGAUAUGAUAAUGUUGCUUAGGUCAUAUGAAGUCGUGUGAGAUGAAAGUCUCAUGCACCGUUUUGAAUGAGAAAGAAGUGAGGAAUCCUCUUUUCAACUUGAUCCCCACUUCAGUUGUUGCUUUUCUUUCUAUUACUUCAAAAGUAGCUGCUUCAGCUUCAACCACCCGAAUUUUUUAUAUUCGUUUGGGUGGGAGACUUCUUGUGUAAGUUAAACUACCGUCAGCUAUUUAGAUGCGUCAAGCCCCACCCCCCACCCCCACCCCCACAUAUACCGAUUACCAUUACAAUGGAAAACAUAGUUUUGUCUUAACUUUUGUGCCGGUUAUCCUGACUACUAUUACUGUCUCGUCUUCACUUGUAAGUGAUACGUAUCAAGUUCGACUUAUAUGGAUGUGUGGCCGCUCAAGCCUUCAUUCCUUUAGAUAUAAAUAACUAGUAUCAAAAAAAUUUGUACUGGUUGUCACUAACAUAGCUGUUUAGUAGUAAUUAUUUUAUCACUUACAAGCUGAAAGCCUUGAGAGGACUCUUAAACACUUGUUGCUGUUUAGUAGAAAACUUUUGUAGGAGUUGUAUUUUGUCUUAUACGUAGAAUUAACGUUUCUAAUUAGAAACGUUAAGUUUUCUACUAAAGUUUAGUGACAACCGUUACUGUUUCUUACAAGAAUAGACAAUUAAGGGUGUGUUUGUUUGCCUUCACUAACUCUCCUUGGAUUGGACUGGACUAGUUAUUAGUCCAAAACCGUGUUUGUUACACGUAGGAAUAGAUUUAAUGAGAUUAGAGCCGACUCGUUCCGACUAAGUCCUUUGUUAGAAGGUCUUAGCGAGAUCCCCCAAUAAGCACGGGAUUGCUAAGAUCGUUCGUGUCCUUGUCCAGUUGUUCUCCUUGCUUCUUUGUUCUGGUCUGGUCAACUGACCUCGCCAGACCACCCCACUGACAGCGAUGGCGACGAUUGUUGACGAGAUGCACUUGUUUUUGGCUCCGCACUUCUUCGACUUGUUCAUAAAGGACAAGAGCGAAGCUGAGUCUACCAUAGAAAGCUCUUCACUGUCGGCUGCAUGGCCAUUCACGUCGAUUGGAGGAGGGGAUGAGGGUGGGUCAUUGGAGAAAAGAGCUUGCAUGAGGAGACGAUGCUAGGCUCGCAACUGGAGGUUUGAUUCGAAGAUGGAGGAUCUUAAUUACGUAGAGGUCUGAUAGACUGAUUCGCUUCUUUCCAUUUUCCCCCCAUUUUUUAUUUUUUAUUUUUUUAUCUUUUUGAUUUAGGGGAAAUUUAUUUACAGUGUGGAUUUAUUGUUUGGUUUGAUUUGAAUUGGGCAAAAUCUUUGGUUUUUUUUUUUUAUAUAGCAAACGAACUUUUGGAGUGGAUUAUGAGUUAAUUAGCAAUUUCUCCUCCUGCGUAUAUUUCAAUUUAGGAUUUGAUUGUAGGUUAUUUAGAAUAUGAUGUUGUUGUAUGAAAUUUUGUUAUGAUUGUAUACGGUCCAUUUUUCAUUGUUUUCGUUAUCCCAUUUCUUAGUCCAACAUUGAUCAAAUGCUUUAUCAAGUUAGUCCAGCUUAGUCUAUUCUAAGUCAGUCCAGCUUAGUCCCAGAAGUUAAUCCAGUCCGAGAUAGUCCGGUACAACAAAUGCACCCUAAGUGUGACGCAUCGUGCUAUAAUGAAUAGGGAAAUCGAAUGACUAUUUUGCCUUGUUAUUAAGGUUUUGGAGGCAAUCUCCUUGGUUGAUGUUAGAAGGCGCUUUAUCGAGGCAUUAGCUCUGCAGUUUGGGAGACCAGUGGAAGCUGAUUCGGUAGGCAUCCUAGGCAUGUAAUGCUCUCUGCAAAGUUCUAGAAACGUUAAGACUAAUUGUUCAUAUCUAAUUCAUAAAACUUAUUAAGUCUUGCAUGUUUAUGUUUAAUUUAAACAUCACUGAUGGAUUACAUGUUAAGUGUACGUAAUUACUUGAACAUCACGAGGAGAUUAUGCAUUAAGAAAACUUAACCUUUAAAGUUGCAUGUUUUAACUCAUAAGUAAUUUGUAGAACUGCGUAUGAUUGUUAAUGGUAACGGCUAAACCCUAAUACUUUUCACAUUUGAUUUCUCUCCAAAUUUUUUUUUUAUUUUAUCUCUCAUUGCCCAUUUUUGUUAGUCAAAUUUAAUUAUUUAUUUUCUGUUCUUUUACUUUAAUUCACAAUUUCAAAUCUUUUCCAAAACUUAUGUUGUAUACUUAACUAAGAAUUGGUUUCAAAUACAAAUUAUUCAUAUUGAUCCGAUAGAGAACGACCUUACUUGAGCUAUUUAUACUAUAAUAACCUUGUUCUCUUAUAAGUAUUUUUAUGUAUUUUAAUUCCUACUUUUGCAAGUGGUAAAAAUCCUACCAUUCUCAACAUCAGCAUGUUUGAAUCUGAAUUAGUUUGCUAGCCAGAAUUAGUUGGCCAGCCAGUCCAAUCCAGUUCACUAGCCUAGUCUAAUCCAUUCUUGUCUAGUCUAGUCUAGUUCGCUAUAAUUGCUCUUUGCUUGAAAGCUCGCUUGAAUUGUCUUGCCUUAUCGGCCUAAUAGAGCUUGCAUCCGCAUCUACUUGUUGGCAACUCAUGUCGUGUACCGUCAUGAAUUUGACACGGGGUGUUGGAAUAUUAGUUAUUAUUUGAUUGUCUAGGUUUGGGUCACACCUAUAUGAUUAGGAUUCUUUAGAUUCUGCAUUCUAUAAAUAUAGCUUGUAGUUUAGUAUGAGAAUUAAGUCAAUCAAGAUGUAAGCCUUAGUUUAUAGCCAUCUCUGCAUUCUUAUUAUUGUUUUCCUGUUAAUAAUAUUCAUAAUUUAUAAAUUGUUUGUUCUUACGUUUGAUGCUCUGAUUUUUAACCGCAUGCACAUUCUUUAACUGCAUGCACAUAAGGCCUUUUAUGGCCUAAAGCAGGCCUCUCGUGCCUCGUUUCAGAGGUUUAGUUCUAUUGAUGCACAAAACCGGAGGUCUUGGAACAACGUAAAUCCGACCAUGAAUUUGCAAGAAAGUAAAUAACACAAGAUGUAUUGUGGUUCGCCCCAAUGUUUGGGCUACGGCCAUACUGAUAUUGUAUUUCUUUGUUUGUGAGAGGAUGAGAGGGUGAGAGCUUCUGAGGGUGAGAGAGCUUUUCCCAUGGCCUAACAAUUGGUCUCUCUCAAUGAGGAGAGUGAGAGGUCCUUUUAUAGAAUAAGGGCUCCUCACUUAUUAUAUAUUUGCCCCUUCAUUUAUUACAUAAUUACAUUUGAGUCCUUCGAGUAUUUAUACGAGAUCUAAAUACGGAGGCCUUAAGUAUGGUAUAAACAGUAGUCCCCCAAGUCUUCAGUCAAGAGAGUCUUUUGGCUGGAGACUUGAAAUUCAGUCCAUGUGUGGGCCGAAGUAACUAGAUGUCGUCUAGAACUGAAUACUCGAUAUGAGGCGGUGCUCAAUGUGAAAUGAUGCUCAAUUAGAAGUAGCACAUGUUGCGAGACUGCUCUACUUGUGGCUUAUGUUGCCUUGGUUGGCUCGGUUUGUGGCGUUGAAGGUGAGGGAGUCCCUUUUAUAGAAUAAGGGCUCGUUCCUCAAUACAUAAGUGAUGGGCUAAGAGUUGAUGCUCGCGGCGAGACGGUUGCUUGGCAGGUGGCGAUGCUUUCUAAUGAUGGUGAGGGAGUCCCUUUUAUAGAAUAAGGGCUCGCUCUUCAAUACAUAAGUGAUGGGUUAUGAGUGAUGCUCGCGGCGAGGCGGUUGCUCAGUAGGCGGCGAUGCUCUCUAAUGAUGAUGAGGGAGUCCCUUUUAUAAAAUAAGGGCUUGCUCCUUAGUACAUGAAUAAUGGGUUAGGAGUGAUGCUUGCGGUGAGUCGGUUGCUCAGUAGGCAGCAAUGCUCUCUAAUGAUGGUGAGGGAGUCCCUUUUAUAAAAUAAGGGCUCGCUCCUCAGUACAUGAAUAAUGGGUUAGAUGUGAUGCUCGUGGCGAAGCGGUUGCUUAGUUGGCGGCGAUGCUCUCUAAUGAAGGUGAGGGAGUCCCUUUUAUAAAAUAAGGGCUCGCUCCUCAGUACAUGAAUAAUGGGUGCUCUCUAAUGAAAGUGAGGGAGUCCCUUUUAUAGAAUAAGGGCUCGUUCCUCAAUACAUAAAUAAUGGGCUAGAGUUGAUGCUCGCGGUGAUGCGGUUGCUCAGUAGGUGGCGAUGCUCUCUAAUGAUGGUGAGGGAGUCCCUUUUAUAAAAUAAGGGUUCGCUCCUCAGUACAUGAAUAAUGGGUUAUGAGUGAUGCUCGCGGCGAUGCGGUUGCUCAGCUGGCAGUAAUGCUCUCUAAUGAAGGUGAGGAAGUCCCUUUUAUAAAAUAAGGGCUCGCUCCUCAGUACAUGAAUAAUGGGUGCUCUCUAAUGAAAGUGAGGGAGUCCCUUUUAUUGAAUAAGGGGUCGCUCCUCAAUACAUAAAUAAUGGGCUAAGUCCUCUAAGUAUUUUUCAUGAGGCCCAGUUGUGGAAGCCUAAUAUAUGGUACAUAGUGUAGUCCCCCAAGUCUUUAGUCAAUAGGGUUUGUUGGCUGGAGACUUCAAAUUGAAUCCAUGUAUGGGCCGAAGUGACGGUUGUUCGAAGGCGGUAUUUGUAUACCCUGCACUGAAGCUUUGUAGGUGAAGCUUUGCAAGUGAAGCUUUUGAAGCUGGUUGACAUGAGUGAUGCUCAUGAAUGUUUAUAUGAGUGAUGCUCAUGAAUGUUGACAUGAGUGAUGCUCAUGAAUGUUGACAUGAAUGAUGUUCAUGGAUGUUUAUGUAUGAUUGACAUGAGUGAUGCUCAUGUAUAAUUUUGGAGUAUUGGAUGUACUUUUGAUCACCUAGUGGGUGAUAAUAGCGGCAGGCUGCCGAAUAAUUUUUGAGUACUGGGCGUACUUUUGAUCACCUGGUUGGUGAUAAUAGCGGCAGGCUGCCGAAUAAUUUUGGGAGUACUGGAUGUACUUUUGAUCACUUAGUUGGUGAUAAUAGCGGCAGGGUGCCGAAUAAAUUUGGAGCCAUAGGGCCUGGCUCUUUUGGGCAUAUGGGCCUUCGCCCUCCACAUAACAUUCCAGCCCAUUAUUUUGGGCUUGCCGUUUUUAUUUUUUAUUUUUUUAUUUUUAUUUUUUAUUAUUAUUACCCUCUGAUAGGGUUAUACAGAUAUCUGCGAAAGAUAAGAAAAAUAAAUUACAUCAUUCAAAAAUAAAUCCGAUCCUCUACUCAAUGGGUCACGCCCAUAAUGCCAUCACCACCGCAAUUAUGUCUGCUUUUUAUUUAUUUAUUUAUUUUCAUCUUCUUUUGCUUUCUGCUUUUCUUUUCUGCUUUGCUUUUGCUUUUUCGACAUGUGAGCACAUGAUUGCACCACUUGCAAAUGCUCAAUAAUUUCUCAUUAUUCCAAACUGCUGCAGCAACGUGACUCUUAAAGCUAUUUAGCAAUGAUGUAUCUGUUGGCCCUCAUGGAAAAGGCUCUGUCUCUUCAGCAUCAUCUUCACAAAUCAGGUUGUCAGAUGAAGACUCUAGUAGCCCAAACUGACUAGCCCAUCCUUCACGAGCGCAUCCACACCAACUCCUGAAAUGGAAGAAUUCUCUUCAUUUGCUAUAAAGACUGCGACCACAGUUGACUUUAAUUUUGGAUUUGUCUCAGCCAGCCUUCUCAUGAGCUCAGUUAGAAGUGCAACAUGACCCAAACAAUCAGUGGUUCCAAGGCCACGAAGUUUAUCUCAUUCGAUGCUCAAUGAGAAUGGAUCAAAUUCCUAGUCUUUGGGGUUAGCAGUGACGGCGUCCAUGUGAUAGCCAAUAAAGGACAAGAUCUUCCCUGGAACAGUUCCUGGGUUGGUACCGAUGAGUACGAGCUUAGAGAAGAGUUCGGAGCGACGGAUGGAGGCGACGACGUCCAUGUGAUAGCCAACAAAGGACAAGAUCUUCCCCGACGGCUGGAGAUGGAAUGGGGUCGGGUUCUUGGAUCGAACCUGGGAGCGGACUGGAAUCAAUUGGGGAGACUCGACCCGGGGACAAGAUCCGACGAGGGUCUAUCUGACCCACCAAGCCCAAUCCGGAUUUUGGGCUCUGAGGCGAGUUGGGGACGGAGAUGCAGGUGUUUUGAGGUCGACACCAGAAGGAACAACAGAGGAAAAAGCUCCGAUUCGCAAUUGGCGAGGACGAUGAAAGUCGGAGGAGGAAGAGGAGGAGGCUACCAAUAAACUGGAAGCAGAAGCAGCCUUUGCAGCCAUGUCCAAGCAGCACAUCGCCAUGCCUCCCUCUCGCUCUCACUCUUUCUCUCUGGGAGUCUGUGUCGGUCUCUGUUGGACUUGUUGCAACUGCUGAAGCGCUGAUGGUUUUUUGAUUUGCCUGAGGUGGUAUUCUCAGUGUUGCAGAGAGAGCAGGGAGAACUCUGUGUUUGUGUCUCUGUGUGGGUUUUGCAGAUCCACGACGGAGGUGAAAAAAUGAAAAAGAACCGACAUAACUUUUUUGUGUCGAUUCCCACAGACGGCGCCAAAUGUUGAUGCACAAAACCGGAGGUCUUGGAACAACGUAAAUCCGACCGUGAAUCUGCAAGAAAGUAAAUAACACAAGAUGUAUCAUGGUUCACCCCAAUGCUUGGGCUACGUCCACACUAAUAUUGUAUUUCUCUGUUUGUGAGAGGAUGAGAGGGUGAGAGCUUUUGAGGGUGAGAGAGCUCUUCCCAUGGCCUAACAAUUGGCCUCUCUCAAUGAGGAGAGUGAGGGGUCCUUUUAUAGAAUAAGGGCUCCUCACUUAUUACAUAUUUGCCUCUUCAUUUAUUACAUAAUUACAUUUGAGUCCUCCGAGUAUUUAUACGAGAUCUAAAUACGGAGGCCCCAAGUAUCGUACAAACAAGUUCUUUUAUUAUCAAUUUUGGUUUCCUUCAAAGCCGGGCUGAUAAUUCUGUGUUCGUUGUUGUGGGUAGUGAUCCCUCUGCUUUUCUUCCUAAUUAAAAAAAAAUAGGUGUUGAAUUUGAUUUAAAAGACUUGGGCAAGCUGCUAUUUUCUUCGGAUAAAAGUCUUUUUUUAUGUGGCCGGAUAUUCAUCUUACCCAGACAAGGUACACAUUGAACAUUCCCAAGAAGGGAGACAUGCUUGAUUGUUUUGACACGUACAUGUGGUACUGAGUUGGCUGGUCCAUGUUUCUAUCGCUAUUGUGGUGGAGGUCUUCAAUAUCUCCGACGUCUCCUUUGCCGUUCAUAACGUUGCUCAAAUCAUGGGUCGUCCUACUUCUUCGCAUUUGGAGGCAGCUAAACAUAUUUUGUGUUACUUAAAAGGUACUUACGGUCAUGGUUUGCCAAUAUGAUGUGGUGAUGCUUCUUCUUCUCUUUCAGUUUACUCUAACGCAGAUUGGGCAGCUUGUUCGGACACCCGUCAUUUUGUCACAGGUUUUUGUAUCUUCCUGGGUUCUAACUUGAUCACAUGGUGUUACAAGAAACAACGAACACCCUCUUGGUUAAGUACUGAAGCAAAGUAUCGUGCCCUAGUUUAUGGAUGUGCAGAUUCGAUUUGGAUAUUUUGUCUUUUAAGUGAGCUGUGGGUUCCUAUUCCUCGUCCAAUUUUUCUCUAAUGUGAUAACUGGAAGCGAUAUAUAUAUAUAUAUAUAUUCACUGUCACACUUAACAUAUUGUUAUCCUCACUUCACAUGUGCCUCGUUUGCGGGGGGAGUGCUAUAGAUAUGGUUGUUUGAAUUGUACUCCAUUCAUGAUUUGAAUUGUACUAUCGUGAUAUAUUCUUAUUAAUGUUGCACUAUCAGAAACUUCACAUGAUGCACUUUUUUGGAAGAGAUUUUGUAACAACAAUUGUGGUAGUUUUCACGUAUUCUACAUCUUUUAAUUGGUCGAGUUUGGUGAAUCAAGUAUGGUUCAUAUGGAAUCAAAGCGGAGCAUGUCUACUAAGGUACAAGCAAAAGGAAUGUAUGUCAUCUAUUCUCAUGACAAAGUGGGCAAAUUAUAUAACUAACCAAAAUGUUACUUCAUUAAAGUUGGUAAUUUAUAUUGCAUAAUAAAGGUUGCAAGAGGAAACCAAAUUUCAUUAAAGCAGUUACAAGAGCAGUAAUAUAUUACUAUAUUUAUAUAAUAUAUAGUAUUGUAUAGGUAAUCGAUCAUAUUAGAAGCUGUUGACAACUAAGUUUCGACAACUCUUAUUUCAAGGAAUUAUCUAGCUCAUAUUGACUCAAUUUUGACGGAUAAUUGGUGGGGGUGGUCGCGUAUUGUUCAAACUUGGUGGUGGUGGUGGAGGAAGAUUGUUUCGACCUGGGGAUGGUGGUGGGGGAGGAUUGUUUCAACUUACUAAAGGUGGUGGUGGAUGGAUGUUCUAAGGUAGUGGAACUUGGGGAUUGUUCCAACCACGUGAUGUGGUGGUGGAGGGCUGUUUUGACCAGGCAAAGGUGGUGGCGGUCGAUUGUUUGGCUGGGGUGGCGGUGUAUUUUUCCGACCUGGUGAUGUUGGUGGCGGUGUAUUUUUCCGACCUGGUGAUGGUGGUGGCGGUGGAUUAUUCUGAGGUGGUGGUGCUCGUUGAGGAUUGUUUCGACCUGGUGAAGGUGCUGGAGCAGGGUUGCUCUGACUUGGUGAUGGUGAUGGUGGUCGAUUGUUCAAGGGUGGUGGUGCUCGUGAAGGAUUAUUUCGUCCUGGUGAUGGGGCUAAUGAUGGAUUGUUCUGAGGUGGUGGUGCUCGUGGAGGACUGUUCUGUCUUGGUGGUGGGGCUAGUGGUGGAGGAUUCUUGUGAGGUGGGGGUGGUGGCGGAUUCUUCGGAGGUGGAGGUGGUGGUCGUCUCACUACAAAAGGAGGAAGAAAUGGCGGCUUGUAAAAUGGUGGUAGCCAUGGCUUGGGAAAUGGUGGUAUAAACAUUGAUGGCUUGUAAAUUUCGUGUCUUAUGGGAGUGACUUGUAGCUUGUCAUCCUCAUUGUAUUGGGCAUUGGAUGAAGUUGUGAUAAGAAUAACCACUACAAGAAAUAGCACAAACAACUUUAAGUAAGUCAUCUUUGCUCUUCUUGUGUUACAAAAUGAGAAGGGGCAUCAUUUUAUAGGGGCAAGAAUGAUGGGUUUUGUGUUAAUAAUUUUGGUCAAUAGGCAAUUGGUAAUUCAUAGGCUCCAAUUGGGGUAGUAUCUGCCCAACUGGUCUAAUAACAUUGCUUUUAUGGUAGGGGAGGCUCAAAAUUUUCAGCAUGCUUUAUAAAUUGUAUUCCUUAUUCCUAAAUUGUUCAACAAAUAUAUAUAUAUAUAUAUAUAUAUAUAUAUAUAUAUAUAUUUGUUUAAAAAUUUAGUAAAAAAGGUGUAGUCUAGCAAUCUUGUUCAAGUGUUUGGAAAUUGUUGGAAGUUUUGAGACUCUUGUCCCACAUUGGUGAAAACAAGAUUCCAAAGUACCUUUAUAUAUGUUUUGUCUUCUACGGUAUUAGUUAUGUGUUGGACCACUUGGAAUGGGAAUUGAGGCUUGAGUCACCAUUUCCGUGGAUUGGGCUUGAUGAUUAUACCAUAAUAUUAAUAUAUAUUAAUAUAAAUUAAUAUAAAUUAAUCAAGACAAGGGCCAUUAAUCUGAUCAAUUAGUUUUAAUUUCAAAUUAAGUUUUUAAUUAAAUUAAUUAAAAACGUUUUGAUUAAAGAUACAACCUUUUGUAGAGAGUUGUAAAGCUUCAGAUACAUCCAAAAGGUAUUUGAAGAGGUAUGAAAGAACCUAUAUAACUGGAGUCCUCAGUUCAUCAUCUUUCAUCUUUUUUUCUUUCUUUUCUUCCGUACAAACUUUCCAGAGAGAGUAAACACACAAAGCAAUUCGCUAGAAUUCUAUAAUCCAGUGCGGGUUGUAGGAUUAGGUAGUUGUAUCCUGGUCGAGCAGACGUUAUAGAACCACAAGCACAAGAGUGGGACGGAAUUACUGUUCGAAGGACAUAGCUUUAACGCUAGCCCCUACCUUCUGUAAUCAAGUUAGUACUGUUGAUAUUCUUAUAUUAAUUUCUGUAUUUAUUGUAUAUUUUUCAUUCUGUAUAGCAAGUACUUUUUGUGAAAUAAAAUUGUGAAUUUCAAGUUCUGUUUAUUUAUGUUAUAUUGUUUAUUUCUAAAUUGUUCUCCAACAGGAAAAACACUAGAAAAGAUAGAAAAAUGAAUGAGUUUUUAAUUGUCUUUAUUAUUUAAUACCAAGGUUAUCUAACUUAUAUUGACAUUCGAUACUCCAUCAUUCCAUUCUUAAGCGGAUCCGACUUACAAAAACGGCAUUCCAUCAUGAUCCAUACCGCGUGCGAGUGAAGCAUAAGCUCUGUUUGUUUGGAAAGUCUAUGAAUGUUAAUUAAAAAAAAAAAAACUUCUGUUAUAAUUCGAGCAGCAUUUUGUUUGAAUCGGAUUUCCAACAUUUGCCUUUUGUAUUUAAAUCCAAUCAAUUUUCUUUUCUUCUUAAAUGUUUGGCCUUAAACUGUCAUUUUCCUCUUAAUCGGUCGUCCCUUUCUGUUCAACCCUUCUCUUUAUGUAAAUGGCAAGAGUUUGGCCACUGGGUAAUUGGGGUAUAGCCAUUGACGAUUGGACAUUUAAACUCUAAGCUUAGCAUACAUGGAUGGGGUUAAGCAUCCUAUUCCCCAUCCCCUUGCUAAAUAUGUUGGUAGGAUACAGGGCCGGUCUAGAGAUUUUUGAGGUCCGGGGCGAUGCUAAAAAAUAUGCCUUAACUUCACAUAAGAAAAUUAUUUAUUUUCACAUAAAAGACAUCGAUAAAAUUAUACUUAGAAAAACAUUUCGAACUCAAUAAUUUUGAAACACAGAAAGACUAAUUUAUUUUGUAUCAAGAGAAGGAAACCAAAAAAAUUCCUGGCUUCCAAGUAGAUAAAUGAGUUUUGUCUACCAUCUGAACUUUUAAAGUGUUUUUGUAUAAAUCGUGAGAUGUUUUUUCUUAUUUACUAACCUUGUCAAUAUGGGACUAAAAAAAUAAUAAUGUUUUCGAGUCUUUAAUUGAUAUGUAUAAGUAAUGAAUGGGCACUAACUUAAACCUUAUGAUGAUACGUCAUAUGAUUUGUAAAUUUGGUCUAAAAAUUUGGUCUACGCAUUACUUUUUGUUGAAUAUUAGACUUGAAUUUGAACGAAAAUUUAAAAAUAGCAACCUAUAUAGCUACUAGCUAGUAACUAAAAAUAAAUUAACAACCAAACAAAAAUUUGUUAAAAUUGAAAAGAAUAAACACGCACAUAUCAUUUCAAACUUAGGAGCUCUCAUUAAUUUUAAACAACAAAAUCAUUGCUUUUAAUUUAACUUCUUGAGUAUUUAACCAAAUUUUAUAAAUUUAUACUUUUAUAAAAACAAAAAUUGUAAAACUUGGAAAGUAAAUAAGCACACGUGGUGUCUUGAACCCAAGACCUUCUUAUUAAUUUCAAAUUACAAAACCACCACUUCUAGCUAACUUCCUUUGUCAUUAAACCAACUUUUUAAAAUUUAUACUUUUAUAAAAACAUAUAUAAAUAUACCACCCGAAUAAUUUUGGUGCCCCCAAUUUUUUUGGGCCCUGGACGGUCGCCCUGCCUGCCUUGGGCCUGGGUCGGCCCUGGCAGGAUAUGUAAAGACUAAGAAGCGUUUGGCGCUGAGGAUUGGAUUGAAAUGCAUAAAACAUUUCAAGGUAUGUUGAAAGAAAAAUUGAAAACAUUGUGGCCAACUUGGAAGUAGGAAUCAAUAAGAAAUUUAGAGCUGAUUUGGGAUUAUGGUGCUUAAAAAAAAAGCAACAUAUUAAAAAAUUUGGAACAUCAAAUGUGUUUGGUAAAACAAUUUUUUUUUUAAAAUUUGAUGUCAAUAAUAGUAGAAAAGCAGAAGUAGAGCCUACCAUGCUUAUAAAAAAACUGUUUUUUUUUUUUUAAACAUAGUGAUCAGUGCCAAUUUAAUGAAAUUUUCAAAUGGCAAGUAUACCCCCCAAAUUUUACAAAAUUACAAUCUUUACCCUUACAAUAUUCUCUUUGGUAAUUAUUAUAUCACACUAAAUAUCGUAUCUUUUUUUAGUCAUUUAGCAUAUUCACAACAAUUUUAUAUAAAAGUUUACCAAACACUUAGACUUUUUUUUUUUUUUUUUUUUUUUUUUUGCUAUAAGCAAUUUUACAAAAAAAAAGGUUACCAAACACUCAAUAAUUUUAUAUUAUAGCUGUUUAUUCUCAUAUCACAGUAGAAUAAUUUUUUUUUAAAGCACAACAAUACCAAAUUAGCCAUUAUUCACUACAAUCAUUCCUAAAAUGGUAGGAUGAAAGGAGAAAUUUAAUUCAUGUUUAGCCCCUUUAAUCCGAUCCUCUAUAUGAAAUGAGACCUAAAUUUGUGGUGUCACUUAGUAUUACGAUUUAGAGUUAUUUUUCUUCACUUAUAAGUGAGAGAUUUUUUUUUUUUUUAACAAACGAUAUUAUCUACACUAAGGAGGUGGGGGAAUGCACUAAGCCUCACAAUGGGCUAGCAAUAAUGUAGUUCAAAUUCGCCUUUGGCAAGAGUUGCAUGCAUAUAUGGAGACGACCUAUUCAACCUUCAAUGCCACUAAUAUUGUCCUACAACAACAAUAUAGGGCACCAAAUUUCACCAAAUUUUCAAAUUUGAUCUCUGUUUUACUUCUUUCUGAAAAGCAAAACCAACUUUUGAUGAAAAAUCAUCAAGCUCAACCCAUUGGCUUGAACGCUACGCUUGAAGCGCAUGCGACUAAUUUUAGCAGCCACAAACGACAGAAGAACCAUCGUAGCCAUGGAAAUGGGCGGCAACUCCAGCCACGGGUGCAAGGUCAACAAAGCAAAGGCCUUGCCAAGGGAGGCCCCUAACUUCAAGAACAAGGGAAAAGCUACCAUUUAAUCGAAUUCCACUACAUUGGACAUGUGCUACCGUUGUGGAUCAAUGGACCAUUGGUCACGCGUAUGUUGAGCUACCCCUGAGACUAUUGCCAAGUAUCAUUCCUGUCAUGAGUCUAAUUUUGCACAUGUGGAACAUCCCGAUGAUACUACCACAACUAUAGAGGUUUCAAAUUUUCAGGUGGCUAGCAUUAUGUUUCUCUCAGGCAUCGAAUUUACUACAUCUCUCUCCAUUUUAUUGUUCUUUUGUUUCUCUCAGACAUCGAAUCUGUCAUCUCUUUCCAGCCCAAUACUUAUCAUUUAUAUGUAUUCACAAACUUUUGAUUCAAUCGUAUGACGUGUUCUGGCAAUUUCUGUAUUUGUAAUGCAGGUCUCACAGCCAUACACUUUAUUUUUCAGUGAUGAGAAUCUGGAAACCAUGGCUAUCAAGAAAGAAUUCUCAUUGGAGGAGGUUGAGAAUGAUGAGGUGGAUAACUAUGCAUGUUCAUACAAUUUUGGGGGUGCCGACCCGGCAGAGGGAGAGGAGAACGAUUAUGGAGACGGGGGUAUGGACAUGGAUGACGGAGGCAAUGGCGAUGACUAAGUAUUGAUAUGAUAAUGUUGGUUUGGUCACAUGGAGCCGUGUGAGAUGAAAGUCUCAUGCACCGUUUUGAAUGAGAAAGGAGUGAGGAAUCCUCUUUUCGACUAUGACCCCCACUCCAGUUGUUGCUUUUUCUUUCUAUUACUUCAAAAGUAGCUGCUUUAGCUUUAACCACCCAAUUUUUUUAUAUUCGUUUGGGUGGGAGACUUCUUGUGUAAGUUAAACUACCGUCAGCUAUUUAGAUGCGUCAAGUCCCACCCCCACCCCCACAUAUACCGAUUACUAUUACAAUGGAAAACAUAGUUUUGUCUUAACUUUUGUGCCGAUUAUACUGACUACUAUUCUUGUCUCGUCUUCACUUGUAUGUGAUACGUAUAAAGUUCGACUUGUAUGGAUGUGUGGCUGCUCAAGCCUUCAUUCCUUUAGAUAUAAAAUAAAUAGUAUCAAAAAUAUUUGUACUGGUUGUCACUAACAUUGCUGUUUAGUAGUAAUUAUUUUAUCACUUACAAGCUGAAAGCCUUGAGAGGACUCUUAACACUUGUUGCUGUUUAGUAGAAAACUUUUGUAGGAGUUGUAUUUUGUCUUAUACGUAGAAUUAACGUUUCUGAUAAAAAAACGAUAAGUUUUCUACUAAAGUUUGGUGACAACCGCUACUGUUUUUUAUAAGAAUAGAAAAUUAAGGGUGUUUGUACCAUACUUGACCAAUCCCGAAACUACUGAGUACUAGUCAACGUUAUACCGUUAAGGACCCAUAAGAGUUUCCCUCCAACCAUGAGGCCAAUCACAGCACGACAUGUGUUGACAUCAGAAGCCAAUCAUAGCGCGACACAUGUCAACAUCAGAAGCCAAUCACAACACGACACGUGUCAAUGUCAAAACAAAGCUAGAAACUCUCUUCUAUAAAAGGAGAUCAUUCUCCCACAAUAUUUUCUAAUGUCAUUUGUACUAAAUCAUUCAUUAGUACUCACUAAAGGAGAGCUUCAACCUAUGUACUUGUGUAAACCCUUCACGAUUAAUGAGAACUCCUCUACUCCGUGGACGUAGCCAAUCUGGGUGAACCACGUACAUCUUGUGUUUGCUUCCCUGUCUCUAUCCAUUUGUAUACUUAUCCACACAAGUGACCGGAGCAAUCUAGCGAAUGUCACAAACUUGACACUUUCUGUUGUACCAAAGUCCCCACUGAUUUUGUGCAUCAACAAAGGGUGUGUUUGUUUGCCUUCACUAAAUCUCCUUGGAUUGGAAUGGACUAGCUAUUAGUCCAAUAUCGUAUUUGUUACACAAGGAAUAGAUUUAAUGAGAUUAGAGCCGACUCGUCCCGACUAAGUCCUUUGUUAAAAGGUCUUAGCAAGACCCCCCAAUAAGCACUAGAUUACUAAGACCAUUCGUGUCCUCGUCCAGUCGUUCUCCUCGCUUCUUUGUUCUGGUCUGGUCAGCCGACCUCACCAGACCACCCCACCGACAGCGAUGGCGACGAUCGUCGACGAGAUGUACUUGUUUUUGGCUCCGCACUUCUUUGACUUCAUAAAGGAUGAGAGCGAAGCCGAGUCUACCAUAGAAAGCUCUUCAUUGCCGGCGGCAUGGCCAUUCACGUUAAUUGGAUGAGGGGAUGAGGAUGGGUCAUCAGAGAAGAGAGGUUGGAUGAGGAGACGAUGGUGGGCUCGCGGCUAGAGGAUUGAUUCAGAGAUGGAGGAUCUCAAUUACGCAGAGGUCUGAUAGACUGAUUCGCUUCUUUCCAUUUUUUCCCCAUUUUUUAUUUUUUAUAUUUUUAUCUUUUUGAUUUAGGGGAAAUUUAUCGACAGUGUGGAUUUAUUGUUUGGUUUGAUUUGAAUUGGGCAAGUAAAUCUUUGGUUUUUUUUUAUAUAGAAAACGAACUUUUGGAGUGGAUUAUGAGUUAAUUUGCAAUUUCUCCUCCUGCGUAUUUUUCAAUUUAGGAUUUGAUUGUAGGUUGUUAGAAUUUGUAUGAAAUUUUUUUAUUAUGAUUGUAUACGGUCCAUUUUUCAUUGGUUUUGUUAUCCCAUUUCUUAGUUCGACACAUCAUUAAACGUUUCACUAAGUUAGUCUAGCUUAGUCUAUUUUAAGUCAGUCCAGCUUAGUCCCAGAAGUUAAUCCAGUUCGAGAUAAUCCGGUACAACAAAUGCACCCUAAGUAUGACGCAUCGUGCUACAAUGAUUAGGGAAAUCGAAUGACUAUUUUGCUUUGUUAUUAAGGUUUUGGAGGCAAUCUCCUUGGUCGAUGUUACAAGGCGCUUUAUCGAGGCAUUAGCUCUGCAGUUUGGAAGACCAGUGGAAGCUGAUUCGGUAGGCAUCCUGGGCAUGUAAUGCUCUCUGCAAAGUUCUUGAAACGUUAAGACUAAUUGUUCAUGUAUCUAAUUCAUAAAGCUUAUUAAGUCUUGCAUGUUUAUGUUUAAUCUAAACAUCAUUGGUGGAUUACAUGUUAGGUGUACGUAAUUACUUGAACAUCACGAGGAGAAUAAGCAUUAAUAAAACUUAACCUUUAAAGUUGCAUAUUUUAACUCAUAAGUAAUUUGUAGAACUGCAUAGGAUUGUUAAUGGUGGGUGCUAAACCUUAGUGCUUUUUCACAUUUGAUUUCUGUCUAUAACUUUAUUUUAUUUUAGGAAAAAUUAGUAUCCGGUCCCUAGUUUUUACUAUUCAUUGACUAACACCUUAUUAGUUCUCAAAUUUUGAUUCAAGUCCCUAGCAUUAAUGUGAUAAUGAAUUUACAUGUUUAUUAUAUAAUUUUUUUAAUAUAAAAAUUAGUAAUUAAUUUAGGGUUUAAUACUCACACCUCUAUUAAACUUCUAAUUAAUUUUCAAUUCAAACAUUUCCAAAAUAAUAAAAAAUUAAAUUAAAUUAAGUUUGUACCUAUUAGUUUUUUUUAUAUAUAAAAAGAUUCUCAAUUUUUUAAUCUUAAAUGUACCCAUUCAUAUAAUUUUUCAAUUUUUUUAAUCUUAAAUGUACCCAUUCUCAAAUAUAUCAAUUUGUUAUAUGUAAAAUGUACCCUUUUUUAAUAUAAAAUCCAUUCAAAUUUUUUAAUCCAUGUUUAAACUUAUAUGGGUACAUUCUUUUUCGUUGAUUUGAGAAUGUAUCCAUGUUUUGGUACAAUAACUUUUUUUGUUAAUUUUGGUUAAUGUACCCAUACAUAUAUGUACACACACACACAAUAUAUAGAGAGAAUAAUUUAUAUUUUAUUAUUUUUAAUCCCAUAAUUAUGGGUUUUAUUUAAAAUCUCAUUAAUAUAAACAAUUACAAAUUUCAAUUUUUAAUUUUUAAUUAAAAAAAUAUAGUAACUUACAUUAUUACAUUAAUAUCAGGGACCUCAAUCAAAAACUAAAAACUAACAAGGUUUCAAUCAAAGGAUAUUGAUAGCUAGGGACCGCAUCCAAAGUGUCCCGGAAAAAUUAGUAUCCGGUCCCUAGUUCUUAUUGUUCAUUGACUAAGACCUUAUUAGUUCUCAAAUUUUGAUUCAAGUCCCUAGCAUUAAUGUAAUAAUGAAUUUACAUGUUUAUUAUAUAAUUUUUUAAUAUAAAUAUUAGUAAUUAAUUUAGGGUUUAAUACUCACACUUCUAUUAAACUUCUAAUUAAUUUUCAAUUCAAACAUUUUCAAAAUAAUAAAAAAAUUAAAUUAAAUUAAGUUUGUACCUAUUAGUUUUUUUUUAUAUAUAUAAAAAGAUUCUCAAUUUUUUAAUCUUCAAUGUACCCAUUCAUAUAAUUUUUCAAUUUUUUUAAUCAUCAAUGUACCCAUUCUCAAAUAUAUCAAUUUGUUAUAAGUAAAAUGUACCCUUUUUUAAUAUAAAAUCCAUUCAAAUUUUUUAAUCCAUGUUUAAACUUAUAUGGGUACAUUCUUUUUCGUUGAUUUGAGAAUGUAUCCAUGUUUUGGUACAAUAACUUUUUUUGUUAAUUUUGGUUAAUGUACCCAUACAUAUAUGUACACACACACACACAAUAUAUAGAGAGAAUAAUUUAUAUUUUAUUAUUUUUAAUCCCAUAAUUAUGGGUUUUAUUUAAAAUCUCAUUAAUAUAAACAAUUACAAAUUUCAAUUUUUAAUUUUUAAUUAAAAAAAUAUAGUAACUUACAUUAUUACAUUAAUAUCAGGGACCUCAAUCAAAAACUAAAAACUAACAAGGUUUCAAUCAAAGGAUAUUGAUAGCUAGGGACCGCAUCCAAAGUGUCCCGGAAAAAUUAGUAUCCGGUCCCUAGUUCUUAUUGUUCAUUGACUAAGACCUUAUUAGUUCUCAAAUUUUGAUUCAAGUCCCUAGCAUUAAUGUAAUAAUGAAUUUACAUGUUUAUUAUAUAUAAUUUUUUAAUAUAAAUAUUAGUAAUUAAUUUAGGGUUUUAAUACUCACACUUCUAUUAAACUUCUAAUUAAUUUUCAAUUCAAACAUUUUCAAAAUAAUAAAAAAAUUAAAUUAAAUUAAGUUUGUACCUAUUAGUUUUUUUUAUAUAUAUAAAAAGAUUCUCAAUUUUUUAAUCUUCAAUGUACCCAUUCAUAUAAUUUUUCAAUUUUUUUAAUCAUCAAUGUACCCAUUCUCAAAUAUAUCAAUUUGUUAUAAGUAAAAUGUACCCUUUUUUAAUAUAAAAUCCAUUCAAAUUUUUUAAUCCAUGUUUAAACUUAUAUGGGUACAUUCUUUUUUCGUUGAUUUGAGAAUGUAUCCAUGUUUUGGUACAAUAACUUUUUUUGUUAAUUUUGGUUAAUGUACCCAUACAUAUAUGUACACACACACAAUAUAAUAGAGAGUAUAAUUUAUAUUUUAUUAUUUUUAAUCCCAUAAAUUAUGGGUUUUAUUUAAAAUCUCAUUAAUAUAAACAAUUAGAAAUUUCAAUUUUUAAUUUUUAAUUUUUAAUUUAAAAAAUAUAGUAACUUACAUUAUUACAUUAAUGUCAGGGACUUCAAUCAAAAACUAAAAACUAACAAGGUUUCAAUCAAAGAAUAUUGAUAACUAGGGACCGCAUCCAAAUUGUCCCAUAUAUAUAUAUAUAUAUAUGUAUAUGUAUAUUUACUGUCGCACUUAACAUAUUGCUCUUGAUUAUCACUUUGUGCGAGAACAUGUUGCUCACACGCAUUAGGUUCAGUUUGCUUCUUCCGAGGUGCAGUAGUCAGAAGUCUAUCACAAUCGCACUUCUUGCUGUUGACUUUCAAAAUCCUCACUUCGCAUGUGCCUCGUUUGCGGGGGGAGUGCUAUAGAUAUGGUUGUUUGAAUUGUACUCCAUUCAUGAUUUGAAUUGUACUAUCGUGAUAAAUUCUUAUUAAUGUUGGACUAUCAGAAACUUCACAUGAUGCACUUUUUUGGAAGAGAUUUUGUGACAAUUGUGGUAGUUUUUAUGUAUUCUUCAUCUUUUAAUUGGUCGAGUUCGGUGAAUCAAGCAUGGUUCACAUGGAAUCAAAGCGGAGCAUGUCUACUAAGAUACAAGCAAAAGAAAUGUAUGUCAUCUAUUCUCAUGAUAAAGUGGGCAAAUUAUAUAACUAACCAAAAUGUUACUUCAUUAUAGUUGGUAAUUUAUAUUGCAUAAUAAAGGUUGCAAGAGGAAACCAAAUUUCAUUAAAGCAGUUACAAAAGCAGUUAUAUAUUACUAUAUUUAUAUAAUAUAUAGUAUUAUAUAGGUAAUCGAUCAUAUUAGAAGCUGUUGACAACUAAGUUUUGACAACUCUUAUUUCAAGGAAUCAUCUAGCUCAUAUUGACUCAAUUUUGAUGGAUAAUUGGUGGGGGUGGUCGCAAAUUGUUCAAACUUGGUGGUGGUGGUGGUGGAGGAAGAUUGUCGAAGAUUGUUUCGACCUGGGGAUGGUGGUGGGGGAGGAUUGUUUCGACUUACUAAAGGUGGUGGAGGAGGAUUAUUUAGAUUUGGUGGAGGUGGUGGUGGAUGGAUGUUCUGAGGUAGUGGAACUUGUGGGGGAUUGUUCCAACCACGUGAUGGUGGUGGUGGAUGACUGUUUUGACUAGGUAAAGGUGGUGGCGGUCGAUUGUUUGGCUGGGGUGGCGGUGGAUUGUUCUGACUUGAUGAUGUUGGUGGCGGUGGAUUGUUCCGACUUGGUGAUGGUGAUGGUGGUGCUCGUUGAGGAUUGUUUCGACCUGGUGAAGGUGCUGGAGUAGGGUUGCUAUGACUUGGUGAUGGUGAUGGUGGUAGAUUGUUCAAAGGUGGUGGUGCUCGUGGAGGAUUAUUUCGUCCUGGUGAUGGGGCUAAUGAUGGAUUGUUCUGAGGUGGUGGUGCUCGUGGAGGAUUGUUUUGUCCUGAUGGUGGGGCUAGUGGUGGAUUAUUUUGAGGUGACGAUAUUAACGGUGGAUUAUUCAUAGGCGGUGGUGCAGGCGAAUGAUUGUUUUUACCCGGUGAUGGUGCUAGUGGUGAAUUAUGUUGAGGUGGUGCUUGCGAAUGAUUGAUUUGACCCGGUGAAGGUGCUGGAAAAGGGUUGGGCUUACCAGGUGUAGGUGUUGGUGGUGGAUUGUUCUGAGUUGGUGGUGUUCGUGGUGCACUGUUUUGACUCGGUAAAGGUGCUGGAGGGGGGUUGCUUUGACCUAGUGUUGGUGUUGGAGUUGGUGGUGGAUUCUUUCCAGGGGGUGUUGGUGUUGGUGUUGGUGUUGGUGUUGGUGUUGGCGUUCGUGUUGAUGUUGGUGUUGGUGUUGGUGUUGGUGUUGGCGUUGGUGUUGGCGUUCGUGUUGAUGUUGGUGUUGGUGUUGGUGUUGGCGUUCGUGUUGGUGUUGGCGUUCGUGUUGGUGUUGGUGUUGGUGUUUGGUUUGGUGUUGUGUUGGUGUUGGUGUUGGCGUUUGGUGUUGUGUUUGGUGUUGUGUUGGUGUUGGUGUUGGCGUUCGUGUUGAUGUUGGUGUUGGUGUUGGUGUUGGUGUUGGCGUUGGCGUUGGCGUUGGCGUUGGCGUUCGUGUUGGCGUUGGCGUUGGCGGUGGCCGUGGCGUUGGUGGUGGCGUUGGUGGUGUUGGCGUUGGCGUUGGCGUUGGUGUUGGUGUUCGUGUUGGCGUUGGCGUUGGCGUUGGCGUUGGUGUUGGUGUUGGCGUUGGCGUUGGUGUUGGUGUUGGUGUGGUGGCGUUGGUGUUGGUGUUGGCGUUGGCGUUGGCGUUGGCGUUGGCGUUGGUGUUGGCGUUGAUGUUGGUGUUGGCGUUGGUGUUGGUGUUGGUGUUGGCGUUGAUGUUGGUGUUGGUGUUGGCGUUGGAGUUGGAGCUGGUGUUAGAGUUGGUGUUGAUGUUGGUGGCAGACCUUUUCUAGGUGGUGUUGGAGUUGGUGUUGGUGGUUGAUUUUUUUGAGGUGGCGGCGGGGGAGGAUUUUUCUGAGGUGGCGGUGGUGGCGGAUUCUUCUGAGGUGGGGGUGGUGGCGGUGGAUUCUUUUGAGGUGGCGGCGGUGGAGGAUUUUUCUGAGGUGGCGGUGGUGGCGGAUUCUUCUGAGGUGGGGGCGGUUGCGGUGGUUUGUUUUGAGGUGGCGGUGGUGGAGGAUUUUUCUGAGGUGGCGGUAGUGGCAGAUUCUUCUGCGGUGGGGGUGGUGGCGGAUUCUUCGGAGGUGGAGGUGGUGGUCGUCUCAGUACAAAAGGAGGAAGAAAUGGCGGCUUGUAAAAUGGUGGUAGCCAUGGCUUGGGAAAUGGUGGUAUAAACAUUGAUGGCUUGUAAAUUUCGUGUCUUAUGGGAGUGACUUGUAGCUUGUCAUCCUCAUUGUAUUGGGCAUUGGAUGAAGUUGUGAUAAGAAUAACCACUACAAGAAAUAGCACAAACAACUUUAAGUAAGUCAUCUUUGCUCUUCUU